rnacentral:lncRNA from 1 species
ACUCACCAUCAGACCCAUCUAUAUUAAUGGCCCAUCAACCACUUUUUGCUUUCAACCUCUUUGCCUCUUCGGCCACAUUCUUGUUCAAUUUUAACACCCAUAAUAGUAUCUCUCUACACACAGGUUAGCUGUCCACAAUUUUCAUCCAAUCCGGUUGACAGUAUGUUCUUACAACCGCUAAGCUAAAUCUUUGCUCACGAUCCAAAGUUCAUCAUCUAAUCUCUCAUGCAUACUGUUAUAUCUUACUUUUUUUGAGCAGGGGAGCAAUAGAUGCUUGAACUCUAAUGGCAGAAUUAGUCAGUGCUGCGAUUGUCCAGGAGACAGUUGGCCAAAUCCUAUCUGGUGUGGUUCAAAAAUAUGAGGAGAAAGAGGAAUCAAAUGAGAAAAGAAACUUGGAGAGGCUAGAGAUGGCACACAUCAGGCUGGAGGCUGCUCUUGAGACAUCUAAUAAUUGGAAGAUCACUGAUGCAUCCUUAUUGCGUUGGCGCAAGAAGCUGAAGCGUGCUGCUCAAGAGUGUGAUGACACACUGCACAAAUGCAAGCAGAGAAUCCUAGAAGACGAACAAAUGGAACGGGAGGUAAAGAAUUCCUCCCUCCCUAACCGUAUUGUGCAUGCUACCAAGUCAUUUGCUCUCUCCAUAUUUAAACGCAAUGACAAUGACUUGAGAAGAUCCAUUGCUCAAAGAUUUGAGUGGUAUGCAGAUGGUGCUAGUGAGUUUCUGAGAUUCAUAGAGCUUGGUGGCACACCACGCUGUCACAUGCCCUUUGAAUCUCUUGUCAAAAAUCUUUUUGCAGGCAAGGAACUACAUCAUAAAAUUGUUCGGGGAAAUGAGUAUCCUUUGUUUCAAUUAUGGUUGACUUCCAUCCGUAACCCAGUGCAUGGAAUGGAGGUUAGCCUAGUAUUUAUCCAGUAUGAUGGUACACCAGAGGGUAGUAUCUGCUUUAGUUUGGCCGUACAGCUCUCGGAGAGUAUAGACAUAGUUGGGAUUGCAGUUAAGUGCCUCCAGUUAUUUGCCCCUCAUUUCAAGUGUAAAUUGGAAAAUAUUAGAAAUGAACUUACUCAACUGCCCCAUGAAGACUUCUCAUGGGGGCCCUCUUUUUAUUCGGACCAUAAAGAACAUUGGGACAAACUCAGUAGCUUGUCCUCUCAGUUGAAUCGGCCAAACCCAUUUUGUUGCAAGGAGCAUGGACAGCAUGAGGUUCAACGUUUUAGCAACAUGGACAUGGCAGGAUUAUCAGAUGGUUUGCUAGAACCAGUAAUUCAAUUUACUUUGCAUUGCCACGUCUCACUACCUAUGUACAGAAAACAGAAGACCUCACUGUGUGAAGACCUAAUUUCUCUGCAAGAUUAUCCAUAUCUGAAAGCUGGGAUCGCCUUUUCGCCCCAUGGCUCUUUAGAGAACAUGCUGCCAGCGAAUAGGAGUUCUGAGAUAGUGGCGAUAGUCCACAAGGAGCAACAUUUCUUGCAUACAGACAUUACCCUGGAACAGCUAGAAGAGAUUAUGCUGCCAAAGGCAAUAGAUUACUUCCGCCAGAAUGCCGAUGCAAUGGUUUACCAAAUGCUUUGGAAGUCUAAACAUGGCUUUGCACUUAUUCAGGUUGAGAAGCCAUGCAUGAGCGCAUGGAGAUCAAGCAUGAGAAGACGGACCACUUCUGGGGGAGCUAGGAAAAGAAAGCUAUUUCAAGGAGAUGAUGAGGAGUUCAUUAGGAAUCGGAUACGUCUCUGUCACUGGCUUGACUCAUGGUUUACACAUGUGCCUGUCCGGUUGCAAAAGUCGCUCAUGAAUUGGAUUCGGAAAGAAAAAGAAAUUUUGAUAGCAGCACCACAGUUACACCUAAAAUUCUAAAUCAUUUCAUUAAAGAAGAAGAGGGUACAGAAAAACAAAACCACAACAGCUCUGGGAUCUAGAAGUGCUAUGUUCUACAUUAGGAACCUAUGCAACUGUAGCACAUCACUUGUUCUUGGUUUCAAUUUGUGUGUCUUGUAUGUGUGAUGUUUGGUUCUCACCAAUUGAGUAUACGCUGGGAAUUACUGAAUUACAUGGGAGAUCAGAAUGCAGUGCAUUUGUAAGUGUUGACUUAUAAGUGUAGGGUCAUCACUUGUUCUUAUUUUCCAUGUGACUUUCAAGUGUGUAGCUACUUUCGUUAUGAACUUUUUCAGUAAUUGGGUCGUUUUGCAUCCUUGUGAGCUGAAGUUGCUGCCUGAAUAUGUUUCAGUCCCGGAACAUGUUCUCGGCCUCCUUUUUGUGUAUUGGAUGGAUACGGUUUCCGGUCAGGGGAUUUCACUUUGGUAAAAAAUUAAAGGAAAAGAAAAAAAACUGCUGUUGCCGUUCAAGAAAUGUUUCGGUUGCUCGACCAAAGUCAGUCAAAGAAUGGAUUGCUAGGACAACGUUGACCACGUGCAAACAACUUGUGACAUGCCUCGAUGAAUGGACUCGUGCUGUCCCUAGCACACUUCUUCACGGCCGGGAAACGGGAUGCAUAGAUGAAAUACUGGAGACUAGCAGAAAGGCAGGCUGUCGCCGAUGAGGGUGUCAUGUGAGGGGUGGGUGCAAUCGAGUUCCUUCCUUGUGCAGUGAUGCAUAGAUGGGGAGAUGUUCAGAGCUUUAUAUUUGUUUCAUUCUCUGGUCCUCGUCAGCUAUCCAACUACUCUCUGUAUGAUUUCCCACGUAGAUGUUGACCACGUAAAAUAAUGCCCGUUGGGCAAUUAUAUAUACAACAGAUGACAAGUACUCAAAUGCAAAGUGUCAAAUGCAAAGUGUCAUGUUGCCGUUAAAGUCGACAAUAUAUAAACUGAGGCAACUUUAAGUCGAAGAACAAUCCUACUAUAUAUAUACAUGCACACAUACACACACACAUAUAUUGCCACAUUCUUUUCAUAGCAAUCCCCAUGCCUAACUAAUCAAACUCAUGGCAGGAUUAUCAGAUGUUUUGCUAGAACCAGUAAUUCAAUUUACUUUGCAUUGUCAAGUCUCAUUAUCUGUUUACAGCAAACAGGAGACCUCACUAAAGACCUAAUUUCUAUGCAAUUAUCCAUAUCUGAAAGUUGGAAUCUCCUUUUAUUUGUGCCCCAUGGCUCUUUAGAGGACAUGCUUCCGGCACUCUAUUUUAAUUUCCUGUUUCGUUUGGGAGCAGAAGCGUAGCCUCAUUUCUUCAAUUAAGGUUGCCCCUAAAUUAUCCUUGCUCAAGUUUAGUUCAUUAAUAUAUCAGUGGAACAUGAUAGCCAGCCAGCUAGGUCUUUUAUUUAUAAUGGAUAAAGUCCCGACUUCAACCUCUUCAUAACAGAGGUACCAGUCCACGAUUAUUACAAAAUGUAACCCAAGCUAUUAAACAGUCCAUCACAUACUUAUCAUAGAUAGCACGUAAGAACUUGUUACAACUUAUUAACACAACAUUAUUUUUUGUGAUCCAUAUUGCCCAACAAAACACUAAAGACCCAGAUAACAAAUUUAGUAAUUAGGAUACCACUUCUCGAUCGUUAAGAUUUUUUCACGUGGCACGCCAUGGCCUGUAAGGGCUCUCCUGACUUCCUGUAAAGAGCAGAAGGCAUCAUCAGUAUCAUCAUUGCAUUGAUUUUGCUCGAAGACCACCCAUAUUUCGGACAAGUAGGACAAUGUAUGUACUUUCCAAACAAGAUGACACUAGUAGAGAAUUGACCUUCAAUCCAACCCCUUUAGUCCUGGUUAAUAUUGGAUCCGUGACUAAAGUGACUUUAGUUCCAUGUCAAAAAAGUGCUACAGGGAUAGUCCCGGUUGGCAUUUCCAACCGGGACAAAACCACCAACUGGGAAAAAAGGGGUGGUAUUUUCUCCUAGUUGGAAUUUUCAACCAGGACAAAAUCUCCUCCACUAUAAAAUUACCGGAUCGAGAGCUCUUCUUCCUCCCCCAGCCAGAGCCACUCCACUCCACCAGAGACACUUGGCCUCAGUCACACCUAGUUUUAAAACAAAACCAAGUGCUACCUAUAUGUAUGCCAAGAUCUAGUUACAUACAUAUAGUGACAUCAUUAGUGAAUAAUAAAAACAGUAUCAUGUAAAAAAAAUAUAGAGUCUAUCAGAGAUUUACAGCUUAAUCCUGGUAACGAAGGCUCCAAGCUUCACAGGCAAUCAACCGGGGGUUGUGUACACCUAGAACUCAUCACCAUCUUCACAACAACUUCAUAGCAGCUUCUUCUUCUGAGCAAUGUUAGUUAUAGCAAGGGUGAGCACAUGUCGUACUCAUGAAGUGUGGAGAAAUUAUGUAUGCAAGGCUUAAACAAGGAAAGGCUUACUGGUUUACUAUGAUAAGCAGUUUUAAUUGGUCAAUUUUAUUAGCACCUGAUUACUAAGGUAUAAGUAUAUACCAACCCACAUUUAACAUAAACAUAAGCCAUAACCAUAUAGCACAACCAUAACCACGAUUGAAGUACAUCUUCAAGUAUAUUAAUCAUGUGAGGGUCAAGGCCGCUCUUGACCGUGAGCAUGGCUGAUCAAUCAGUUUUACAUCUCUGCAGAGGUCGCACAACUUUACCCACAAGUUGCAUAAAAGUUCAUAGAACUCUGAACCCAACCAUGCGGUGCUAGCUAGGCACCAUACCAUACUUCCGAGGUGUGAUUGCAUAGGGACGCUAUGAGUCCUUUACAAAGAUUCGUUAGCAUGUGGUAACCCGCUAAGGAUUCAGGUCGAAGCACAGCAUAAACCUCCCUAGUGGGCAUACGGUCUUAGCCAAGCUCCCUUCCCAAGAGGACCGGGUUAUACUCCAUCAACGCCUCCCCUCUCACCCUUUCGGUAAGAUUACCCCACACUAAAGUCUCUAAUUAAUUAGCCAAGACUAGAGCCAUAUAGUUUUUGUGAUUGUACUAUUUUCUUGGGUGGUCACUCCAUGUUCCAAUUAAGCAUUGUGAUCUUGUAUUAGUGAAAGUUAUAGCAUAAAUAAAACAAGUUUUAUCAUUGAGUUCAUUAAAACCACCAUAACCCAAGUAUAGCAGCUAAGCAUAUCUACCUAAAAGAAAGAUAAACCCAGGUUGACAAGGAAUGAUCAUAACAACUAGGCAAACCUUAAUAGGACCCAUCAAAUUAAAUGAAAGCAUAUGCAAUAGUGAUUAAAUAAAUUUAUUGGGACAAGAGCACAAGGACACACUUGCCUUCCUAUAAGUAGUGUUGCUGCUAAGAAUGUCUUCCACUUCUUGCUCUUGAAUAUCCUUGAAGUACGUUCGUUCUACUCACAUCAAUCAUCCAAGACAAACAUCCAGAGCACGCACAUACAAGCAAACAAAAGAACUAAAUUAAAAAUAGUACACCAAUCAUCAUAAACAGCACUGAAAAAUGGUACAAAACUAAUCUACACAUUAACACAAAUGCGUGAGCGAAAGAAUCACUCAAAACCGAGAGCUUGCUGGCAACGAUUAGAAACUUUCAGGGGAUUAACUGCGAAAACCAAGAGCUUAAACGCGUUAAAAACUUUGGAUUGUACUGGAUCGUGACAUUAGAACUUUUCUUGAGGGUUGAAGUGCAAAGCUACCUUAUCUUCUUCAACCUUCCUCCCGUGGCCGAUGGCAGCUCCCGACUGAUGGGGUGAGCUUCGGCUGAUAGUGGCGCGCGGUGGCAACACGGGGUGUAGUGACGGCGAGAUCAGGAGGCAUAGGGCCGGCGGCGCGCUGCACGAGGCAGGGUCGGGUACGACAGGUAGCGCGAGGCACACGAGAGGCAGGCACGGGCGUAGAGCCGGGCGGUGCUAUAGGCGGCGGCCGGUUGCUGCGGCGCUGGAGGGUAGGACGGCGGCGGGCGAGGAAAGAGACGCGAUGAGGUGAGAGUUUUGCCGGCAGAAGAAAACAGUGGCGGCUCAGGCCUUCAUGUGGAGGUGCUCCGUCGGCAGUGGAUCGGCGACUGUGAGGGUGGUGGUGAUGCACGGCGGCUCGGUGGAACCUGUGGCGCCGAUGGUUUGCUCCGGCGAGCGACGAAGCCAGCGAAUCGGGCAAGCUGGCGGCGGCACCCAGCUCGGCCGGUGGAUGAAGGGUGGUGGCACUGCGCGAGGUAAGGUGGCCGCGGGCAGCAGGGGGUCGAGUGCCCGAGGCGACCCCUUUAUAGGGCACGGGGCAUCUGGCGCGCUGGGCGCGGACGCCCAAAUGCGGCGGUGGCAGCGCCACCAAGCCAUGCUCGGCCUGGGCACGAGUAGAGCCGGCUAAUGGGCCUGGCUGGGCCUGCGGAUGGGUCGAUUGGAGCGGGUUGGGCCCACAGGCUCGGCUUGGUAGGAUAGGUUAUAUCAGUUUCAGAAAUAAUUUCUCCUGAUUGAAAAAAUCUAGAAACAUGUAGAUAAUUCCAUAAAGUCACAAAAAAUACUUUGAAAAUCCCAAUAAGUUCCAGGAAUUUGCUAGAGAUAGAUUGAGACACGAGGACUCCAAAUAAAAUACUUGCAACUCGUCAAAAGGAUUCUGGAGCCUUCAAAAAAUUAGAUUUAGCUCUUAGAAAAAGGAGAAUAAAUUUCAGAAAAAAGCUGGAAAAUUCUCAGAAGGGUCUGGACAACGUCUAAAUGCAUAUUAAAACAUUUUUGCACCCAUGAAAAACCAAGAUGCAUCAGCAUGAAUGAACAGACACAGAACAACAUUAUUAAAUUCUGAAAACAAACAAUUAUUUUUCCUACACUAAAUUUCCUGUAAAGAAAAAUAAAUGUUGGGAAAAUUUUAAAAAUUAUAAGAAAAUCAUUGUUUAUUUAUUUCUUUUAAUCACAUCCUGAAAUUCAAAAAUUUCAGGGUGUGACAAUUAUGCUGCCAAAGGCAAUAGAUUACUUCCACCAGAAUGUCGAAGCAAUGGUUUAUCAAAUGCUUUGGAAGUCUAAACAUGGCUUUGCACGUAUUCAGGUUGAGAAGCCAUGCAUGAGCGCAUGGAGAUCAAGUAUGAGAAGACAGAGCACUUCUGGGGGAGCUAGGAAAAGAAAGCUGUUUCAAGGAGACGAUGAGGAGCUCAUUAGGAGUCGGAUACAUCUCUAUCACUAGCUUGACUCAUGGUUUUCACAUGUGCAUGUCCGGUUGCAAAGGUGGCUCAUGAAUUGAAUUCGGAAAGAAAAGGAAAUUUUGAUAGCAGCACCACAGUUACACCUGAAAUUCUAAAUCAUUUCAUUAAAGAAGAAGAGGAUAAAGAAAAACAAAACCGCAACAGCUCUGGGAUCGAGAAGUGCUAUGUUCCACAUUAGGAACCUAUGCAACUGUAGCACAUCACUUGUUCUUGGUUUCAAUUUCUGUGUCUUGUAUGUGUGAUGUUUGGUUCUCACCAAUUGAGUAUACGCUACCAGAACCCGCCCGUCGACCACCUAAACGCUCUCGCCAUAGCCUCAUCUUCCGCCUAGCCGCAUCCAUGCUCGAAACCACACCCGGAUGCGCGUUCACGGGCGAGCGGCGGCAACCCGCCACCGCAUUCCAUUCAUCUCGUCGCCACCGCAAGCCGUCGGAUCACAAUCCGACAUCCCAGAUCUGGCCGCAGCCGGUCAAUACCGGUCAGCCAUGCCUUUUUGCAUUUAAGCCCUCGUGUAUUCUGCAAAUUGUGCCGCAGUCCACAGUAGUUCAAAAACCUUUUCAAAGAGGUCCUGUUUUCUUUCAUUUUUACCCCGAGCUUUUGCGAAAUCAACCCGCAGUCCUUAGAUGCACUUUUGCGUGUAAAACCUUCAGUUUAUACGCGUAAUUGUGUUUAGGUCCUCAGUUUCUUGCUGUUUAGCCCCUGGAAGUCUAGUUUUCUCGUAGAUAGGCCCCUUCAGCUUGUUUUAAGGGUAUCUUUUGCGUCUUAGCUCUGUUUUUAGCGUUGUAUAUGUCCACGGGUUCGUUUCGACGCGUAGACUGGUUUUGUAAUUUUUUUUAUUCUAUUUAUAUUGAUUGGUGUAUUAUUUUCUUAUUUAUGAAUUUGUUGCUUGUAUGUGCUCGUGUGACGCAUGUAGAAGGAACAAAGUUCGAGGAAUUCGAAGAAGAGGAAGACUAAAGACUCUGGGCAGCAACAGGGCUUUGAGGAAGGCAAGUGUCCUUGGUCAUUCCCAUUUAUACCUAAAUGACAUGCAUUAAUCCACAAUAUUUAUUUAUCGCUUGCAUUAACAUGAUGGGUUCCUAUUAAGGAUGAUGCCUAGUUUCUUUUGAUCAUACCUUGCAGUCGGGUUGUUUAAUUAAACUUGAGGGUAGAUGAUGCUUAGUUUGCUCAACUAGGUUGGUAAAUAAACAACAUGGUUAAAUUUAUUUAUUUACUCUAUGUUCCUGUUGGCGCUAGAAAUCGGCCGAUGGAAUCUCUAGCGUCGGACACACGACCCGGGAGAAUCUGCUUAACUCGUGUUCGGGUGAUUGCCCUGGUGCGGUUCGCGCGGCGUGCCAGCCAAUCUGACCUAUUGAUUGGCAAGGAAAGAAACGUGUCAGAUACCAGAGGUUGCGAUCGGCUAAGGUUCCGAUCUCGAGAAAGCUUAUCAGCGAAUCGGCCGAUUUGCUGUAAUAAAGAGAUCGGCUAUAAUGCGGCCGAUUACCGGGCAGCGUUAGUAAAGAAAACUGCUAGGAUAAUCUAAACAAUGCUACAGUAACAGCACUAGGAAUAGAUCCAAAUCGGCUAUGCAGAAAGCAAUAGAUUAAGUAAUGAAGUACAAGAGAGCCGAAAGUUCCAAUUCCUAGCUGGAUAACUGGGGAUAAAACUAGAACAAGAGGUAAAACCUAGAAUUCUAGUGAAUAUCGAUAACUGGUGAAUAAAUCUAAACGAAAUGACAGCGAUGCGCCCGAAGUUAAAGCUUAGAUAUUACUUGAUAAGCAGAACUUACAGAAUCGGCCGGAGGUCAAGUUGAUGCAUCCCCGCCAACCCGUACGAACUCGUGAAAAGGAGAAAAGUAUUGGCGAAGUCGCCUGCUCGAAAGUAAAUGCGAGGAAAUAGUAGUUUGUAGUAUUGAUUUGGUGAUGAUUACAGAUCUAUGAAGGUGGCUAUUUAUAGCCUGUUACAACCAAUUUCUUAACCGACUAGGACUCUAUCUCUAACUUUAAACGAAAACAAAUAUGUACAAGUGUGAUUCGCAUCAGAGUUGAUCGUCGCAUUCUCAUGGGCUAACUCCUUCUUUUUCUUCAUAGUUCACUUUAAGCCCAUACUGGCCCAAUUGCUCCAGCCAAUCGGCCGAUUUCCACCAACCCCAUCCGUGGAAACACUGCAGCACCAAUCAGCCGAUCCUUAACUGUAGCACCAAUCGGCCGAUUCCCAUUCGUGACCCCUGUAUCUUGCCGCAUCUCCCGAUUUCUUCCUUUUCUGACGCCGAUUUCACAUGUGUCAAAAUCUGGCGUCAACACAUGCCUCCCAGUUUCGGAGUAAAAUAGUCUUUACUUCGAAAUUCUUUUCAACUUCCCUUCCGAAACAAAUGCAUUGAAAAUAUCCUUCCAUUUCGCGGUCUCCAACCUGAUGAUUGCAAUCUUUUCGAAAUGGGCGCCCACGACAACCACUCCUCCCGAAAAAAUCGAAACGCCGACGCGGUAAAAAUUCCACUUUUACCCCUUCUCAGACCACCUUUAAAUACCAGCUCAUCCCGUACUUCUCUUCACAAUCUCACGUCUUCCUUCUUUAGCGCUCUGAGCUUCUUCUUCCUCCGGCGCCUUCCUUAGAUUCUAGUUCUUUUUCUCCGACAUCUCCUUCCAUCUACACUCCACCCUACUUCUCUAAUGGAGGCACCCUCAGGCACCUCACCAACUCCCGAAGCUCCGGAGGCUCCAAUGGCAAUGGCGACGGCUCCAUCGGCGGGAGAAGGAGUUCCACUAGCGGGAGUUGGGGCUCCGACUGAAGUCCCAUCAGCGGCUUCAGCACCCGUGGCUCUUCCGGCGAUCCCACCAACUACGAUGAGCUUCAUCCCGGAGGUUAUUACCGAAACUCUCCUUUCUUUAAUAAUAAUGCAUUUACUUUAGAUCCGUUCUUACUUCCGCACCCCCUUUUUUCCUUUUUUAGGCGGUUAGGCAUCAGAUUACCAUCCGUCUCACAGAAACUCCUGGCCUUAUCUGUCUUGGUCCCAUGGGAAACCCAGAUCCAACCGAUCUAAUCAAUUUGGAAACCCAUAGGAUACCUUUUAAGCAAUCAACCAUGGACCUAGAUCACUGGUCAGGUACCUUCAGGUCAUGGCCGAAUGAAACCCCCGGCUGGAGAGAAUGGUACCAACGGAUAGCCUCCUCCAAGAGAGUCCAAUAGGACAAGCACAAAAUUGGCCAAUGCAUCGAUCUAUCUCUAUCCCAAAUGGAAAGGAAUGAGCCCUUAGUUAUAGCAGCCUCCUAUUUUUGGUUCGAUGCCCUCAACGCAUUUCUCUUCGGACACGGGCCUAUGACUCCCACCCUGGCCGAUGUGGUCAUGUUGACCGGCCUUGACGUCUCCUCUCCAGAUACUCCUUUUUGUCUUCUAACCAAGACAUCUCAUCGGCUGGAUACAAAAGGAAUCGGCGGAUGGAAGGGAUUCAUCAGAUGCAACAGAAGGGCCGGAUCAGUCGAAAAUAGGGAGCAUGCGGCCUUCCUGAUGAUGUGGCUAGAGAAGCAUUUUUUCUGUGGGAGAGCAGCCGGUCCAUCUACCAAUACCGAGGCUCUGGCUGAGGCACUAUCGAUAGGGGCCUCUGUUCCCCUUGGGAAGCAUUUGUUGGGAUCGGCCUACCAUAUGCUGCAUCAAAUCGGCGUCAAACUGUCCCAAGGAGAGCCGAUUGGAAACCCAGGGGGACCCUGGUGGUUCAUCAAUUUGUGUCUUAAUCUAUACAUGAGCAAGAUCUCCCAGCAACGAGUGGAGCACAUGACAUUCCCCAACAUCGAAUCGGCAGAAAAUCCUACUAUCCGACGCAAAUGCACGUCCUUCGGCGAAGCAGCGUUGGCCUUUUCUGGUUGUUCAUAUUCUGCUACCAAGGUGGCCGAAUAUUUCAGAUGCUUCUAUAAUGGCUUCAGCGAAGAUGCAACCAACUGGUUCCCUUAUCAGAGGGAUGAUCCAAUCUUCGAACUCCCUUCUUGUUUUGACUCAGCCACUGGCAAAUUCGAUGAAGACCUCACAGACGAACUAAUCAAGCCGGGGAUCUUACCGGCAAACUUAUUCUCGGGGAAAGAUGCCCCUACUUAUGAGUUUUACAACCCCUCCGUCGCAGCACGGCAAUUCGGCCUGGGUCAACUGCCGAUUUACGCAUACUUCGCCGGCCGAGCAAAGUUUAGAGACGAACUUACCAAGGGUCUUGACUAUAGCUGACUGCGUGAUCGGAUCCCAGAUUCCAGCACCAUAGAUCUGACCGGUUGGAUAGUAGCUCCUUUCGCCGUUCAGCAGUUCAAGCUUUGGUGGGCCGAAUGGAAGCAGCACCUAUUCUGCGCUUCUGCGGCGGUAUACUGCAAUCUCCUGGAUCCAGACAACAUUGAUCUGAAUGCCGAGGUACCUUUCUCUCUGGCCGAUUCUUAUCUCCCUUCAUCUCUUUUUUUUAUAUAUAUACUGACUCUUGCUAUCGCUUCAGUCUGAGAGCUGUGCUCCCCCCAAACGCAGCCGGAGUGGUCGGCUGAUAGAGGACCGUUAUCCGUACACAGCAUUCCUCCUCAUCGGCUAUCAUGCCCCUUCUGUUGAUGACGUAGCCGGCUGAGUGAAACAAGCGCAGAAUAAGGUCAUCAAGAAAACCAGUCGCCGAGUGCGCGCUCGUACAGAAUCGGCAGAUCCACCUAUAAUCGCAUCGGCGGAAAUUUCGGCCGCGCCAACCCUUCCGGUUGCUGAAGAAGUCGACCUUCAAGAAGCCGGAGCAGCCGCCGCAUCAUUAUUGGUGGAAGCUAUGCAGGUAAACUCACCGUCCGAUUUCUCUUGAUCGCCAUUUCAAUACUGACCUUUCUUAUAUUAGGCUGCACAACAAUCGGCGGCGUCCCAAGCAGCUGCUGAAAUGCCGGCACCCCCUCCCAUUGAGGUACACGGUCUUUCAACCCAGUCUCUAAUAUUUGAAUGAUGAUCUUACUAGCUUCGACGCAGGUUACCGGCACGCUAACCAUGCUACCCGAUCAGCCAUCGAUCACCCCUCAAGAGGCCGGCCCGAGCAAAGCGUCGAUUAUCGUUGAGUCUUCUUCUUCUGAUGAGCCAAUGGCGCUAGUUCCAGGGUUGAGAGUGGUGGUCUUGCAAACGCCGACUGAAGAAAUCCUCUUUAAAGAAGUAAGAAAUCUCUCAACCUUAAUCGACCGAUUUGCUACCAUCAUCGGCUGACUUGUUUUCUUUUCAUCUAUCAUUUUGUAGGAACAGGACACCCCCAAUAACAGCCUCUUUUCAUUUGCUGUCGCACUUUUUGAUGACGAGGAAGUUGCUUCCCGUCAGGUUACUUUAAGCUCCGUCCCUGAUGAUGUCCGCGCCAAGCUCGAAAGCAUACGGUCCCUUCUUCAAGAGGACAUCGGCCGAUUGGUAGAGGAUGCUUCGCCAAUUCGGCACCUCUUCGGUGAUGUCAGUGGGCGGGUCCUAGAGGAAGCGGAAGAAGCCUUGGCGCCAGCUGCUUAUAUUGAGUCAAUGCGGAUCCCGGUCUUCAAGGCUCUGCGUCACAUGGCCGACCGUGCCAAACUGACCAACACUCGUGAAGAAGAGGACUUGUACAAGCACCGGGCCCAGGAGGUACACCAACGCAUUCAUUUUCUUGAGGACUCCCGUCCUGGGCUCGUCGGCACGAUAGAUCGCCUCAAACGCUGAAGAGCAGAACUCGCCAAGGAGAUGGAGCAAGUAACCAAGGAAAUAGCCCUUGAAGAGAAGAAGCUCCAGAAACACCCCUCCGUUAUCGCCGAUUUAAAGCGGGAGAGGCAGCAUCUGGCCCAUGAAGCCCUUAGACUCCACCGCAAUGUGCCAAAAGUUCCAGGGUUGGCAGAAGAUGACCAACGGGUUUUGGACUCGGCCGAUCAGAUCCGACGUCGAGCGAUUGCGGCCAUUAACGCCCUUCUGGGCGAUCUGUAAAAGUACUGGUCGUUUUGUAAGAACAUUAAUGCCCUUUUGACCGUCCUUCACGGCGCCUUCUUCAUUCAUUGCCCUUCUGACGGGAUGCAUCUUACCAAACAUCCGCGCUUUCUCUACUUAUAAAUGCCAGCCUUGGUUUCGCUUUUGAGACCGCCCACCUCGCUCGAUUCCUUUUUCCCUGAUUCGUUUCCGUCGGAGCAUUUUGCGGUCAUGUCUUCCUCAUCUUCUUCUUUUUCCUCUGUUAACCAGGUAAGAGAUCCGCCUCCGCCCCCUCUUCUUUUUUUUUAGUUUGACUCCCCUAAAGCACUCCAUCUUAGGUGAUUAUAUGUUGUUUCUUUUCUCAGCCACGGCGCCUUAGUCCUGAACUCGAACGAGCAAUCGGGCUCGUGUAUUCUGACGAACCAUUAUUGCAAGAAGACAAGGACCUGAUUAGGGCUCACCGUGAAGAACUCAAGGAUCACGUCCCCGCCGAUGUCCAGCGGAUCUGGGACUUCAUCGACGGCAAUGACUAUGAGCGACCUCAAGUUGACAGGAGCCACUCGCUCCCUCGUCCAGUUGCCCUUGAAGAUGCCGCGGCAGGGGCGUCGCGUCCGGUGAUAGAUCGGAGUCAUCCUCUCCCUCGUCAAGUUGAAGCGGAGGCCGCGAUGAACGACAUAGAAGAAUGAAGUCUCCGCCUUCUGAUAGAACUAGGCCGGAUUGAGAUAGAACUCAAGAAGAAGCGUGGUUGAUUAUUUUUGUUCUAAGGGCGACUUGUACUGUGUCGGCCGUGUAAUCUGUCGUCCGUACCAAAUAAUAAAUCGGCCGAUUUGGACGCUUACAUUUUUCCUUUAGGCGAUUUUCUUUCGUAUCGGCUGUGUGUUUGUUUGUCAUAUUUUGCGAUCGAUUCUUAUGCUCUGACCCAUAUACUAGGGUACUACCUUUUCAAGUACCUCCCGUUCAAAGCCCUAGUGAACUCUUCUCCUUUGAUUGUUUCCAAAAUGUAAGCAUUUCUUGGGGCGCAUCGGCCGAUUUUAUACGGCCCUUCCCAAGUGGGAGACCACUUACCGAAUUUAGGAUCCUUUGACCCAAUCGGCAGCACUAACUUCCAUACUAGGUCCCCCGAGGAGAACUGCUUGACUUUGACCUUCUUGUCAUACCAUCUGGCCACUUUCUUCUUGUUUUCUUCAAUACUGAUCAAAGCUCUUAAUCGUUGACCCGCCAAGUCAUCAAGCUCCCUUUUCAUGAGCGAGGCGUAAUCAUCGGCCGUCAGCUGAUCUUGGAGCGACGUGCGUCUUGAUCCUGUUCUCAAUUCCCAAGGCAGUACUGCCUCAUGACCGUACACCAACUGAUAAGGAGACACUUUGGUGGCCCCGUGGCAGGCCAUCCUGUAUGUCCAUAGAGCUUCGGUCAGACAUAAAUGCCAUUUUUUGGGCUAUUCUUCUAUCUUCCUCUUGAUUAACUUAAUUAUCCCUUUAUUGGAAGAUUCAGCCUGACCAUUAGCUUGGGCAUAGUACGGAGAGGAGUUUAGCAGUUUGAUUCCCAUAUCGGCCGUGAACUCUUCGAAUUCUCCCAAUGUAAACAUCGUUCCUUGAUUGGUUGUGAUAGUCUGAGGGAUGCCGAAGCGAUAGACGAUAUGGUCCCUCACGAAAUCAACCAUGGCAACCGAUGUUACGGCUUUUAACGGAAUCGCCUCCACCCAUUUGGUGAAAUAAUCUGUGGCUACUAGAAUGAAUUUAUGUCCUUUGCUUGAUGGAGGAUAAAUUUGUCCGAUGAGGUCUAUUCCCCAACGUCUGAACGGCCACGGCUUGAGGAUUCAUAGCCGAUUCGGGCGCACGUUGCACAUUCCCGUAUCUUUGACAAUCUUGGCAUCCUUUAUAAUAUUUGAAACAGUCUUCGAGGAUUGUCGGUCAGUAGUAUCCAUUAUUCCUAAUCAUCCACUUCAUCUUAUGUGCCGAUUGGUGGGCUCCACAUACUCCUUCAUGGAUUUCUCCCAUCAGGGUCUUCGCCUCCUCUACUCCUAGGCAUUUGAGUAGAACACCAUCAAUCGUCUGGUAGAACAAGUCAUUUUCUAGUAACACAUAUUUUGUGGCCUGAAACCGUAUUUGCCGAUCCACUUUCUUAGACAGAUCUUUUAAAUAAUCGGUGAUCUCCUUUCGCCAGUCGUCGGCCGCGAGCUCUAGAACCAUGGCGCCCUAAAUCGGCCGAUAUCCAGACGCGUGUUGGGCGAGCCUGUUGGCCUCUUCAUUAUGACCCCUAGGGAUAUGCUCAAUAACCGCGGACCUGAAUUCUUUCAGAAGUUGGAGGCAAUCUUUGUAAAAAAUCCUUAAUAUGUCAUCCUUACAUUCGGACCUUCCUGUCAGUUGGUCUAUGAUGAGCAUGGAAUCCCCAAAAAUCUCGACGGCGUCGGCCUUGAUCUCUCUGAGCAAGUGUAGCCCUUUUAACAUGGCUCUGUACUCUACUUGGUUAUUAGUGGCGGAUGCUUCUAUCGGCAGAGAGAAAUCAUAGCCUGCCCCCCGAGGCGAUGUGAGAACGAUGCCAAUUUCUGAUCCGGCCCCACAUGAUGAACCAUCAAAAUAUAAGGUCCACGGUACUGGCUCCACAACGGCGAUUUCUGGUCCGCAGUGCUGGGCAACGAAAUCGGCCAUAACCUGACCUUUGAUGGCUUUUGCCGAUUCAUAUCGUAAAUUGAACUCAGAUAAAGCCAAGAUCCAUUUUUCGAUUCGUCCUUUCAAAAUCGGCAAUGACAGCAUGUAUUUUACUACGUCGUCUUUGCACAUGACUACACAUUCUGCUGAUAACAGAUAAUGUCUGAGCUUGGUGCAUGAGAAGUAAAGGCAUAGGCAUAGCCGCUCUACCGGGGGAUAUCUUGUUUCGGCGUCCACAAGUCGUCUGCUAACAUAAUAUAUUACCCGUUCUUUUCCUUCAAACUCCUGAACCAAAGCCGACCCGAUAGCUCGUUCAUUGGCUGAUAAAUACAGUUUAAACGGCUUACCAGUUUGAGGUGGAACCAAUACUGGUGGCGAGACCAAGUACUUCUUGAUGUCUUCUACUGCUUUGCGUUGUUCUUCCCCCCAUAUGAACUCUUGGUCGGGCUUUAACUUCAAUAAUGGUGUGAAGGCCUGGAUACAUCCGGAUAGAUUAGAUAUGAAUCUUCUGAUGAAAUUGACCUUGCCGAUUAGGGACUGCAAAUCAGUCUUAUUCUGUGGGGCCACGACUUUAUUGAUGGUCGCUAUGGUCUUCCGGUUGAUUUCUAUCCCACGUUCGUGAACCAUGAAUCCCAAGAAUUGUCCGGCGGAUACGCCGAAGGCACACUUGUUCGGGUUCAUCUUCAGCCCAUGUUUUCUCGUGCAUUCCAGUACCUGCUGCAAAUUGGCCAGAUGUUCCUGGUGUCCUUUUGAUUUGACUACGACAUCAUCGAUGUAAAUUUCCACCAGAAUGCCGAUAAGUUUGUGAAAUAUGUAAUUCAUGGCUCACUGAUACGUAGCGCCGGCGUUCUUCAAACCAAAAGUCAUUACCACCCACUCGAAUAAACCAAGGUGACCCGGGCACCUGAAGGCCGUCUUGGAUAUGUCUUCUUCAGCUAUUAGUAUCUGAUUAUAUCCAGCGUUUCCAUCCAUGAAACUAAUAACUUUGUGUCCCGCGGCAGCAUCUAUUAGCACAUCGGCCGUUGGUAUUGGGUACCCGUCCAUCAGUGUGGCCUGACUGAGAUUCCUGAAAUCGAUGCACACACGGAGCUUCCCAUUCUUUUUGUACACGGGUACAAUGUUGGAGAUCCAUUCGGCAUAACGGCAUUGCCGAAUAAAUUUUGCUUCGAUUAGCCUUAUGAUUUCAGCCUUUAUAUCGGGUAGGAUUUUAGGAUUACAACGCCGUGCGGGUUGCUGAUACGGCCGAUAUCCCGGCUUUAUGGGUAACCGGUGUUCGACAAUGGACCGGUCUAAUCUGGGCAUCUCAUGGUAUUCCCAAGCAAAACAAUCUUUAAACUCUUUUAAUAAACUUGUCAAUUUACAUUUGUAUUUUGGAUCCAAAUUAGCACUAAUGUACGUCGGUCUUGGCUUGGUGCCAUCGCCCAAAUCUAUCAUCUCUAAUGAAUCGGCCGAUGUGAACCCGUGCCCUAGCUUUCCAUCUUCCCGGACGAACUGAUCCAUUUAAUCAGAAUCUUCGGAGGCGACUGCUCGGAUCGGCUGUAGAUCAAAAUCGGACACCUUCAGGAAAUCGGUGUCCCAUAUCGUCCCAAAUAUGCACUUGACAUUCUCGCAGCUCCAUUGCUGUGUAUCGGCCGCCGUGACACUGUAUGCGGAAUCGGAGGUGACCACUUCGAUGUUGUCGCCGACCCACUGCACGAGGCAUUGGUGCAUUGUAGACGGGAUGCAACAAUUUGCAUGUAUCCAGUCUCGGCUGAGUAGCAUGUUGUAGGACCCUUUGCAUUAAUAAUAAAGAAAGUAGUGGGAAGGGUCUUACUGCCGAUGGUGAGGUCGACGCAGAGUGCGCCGCGGGCGGGAGACACGUUGGCUUCGAAGUCCUUGAGCAUCAUGUCUGUCUUGGUCAGGUCAUCAUCACUCUUCCCUAGCUUCCGAAACAUGGCGUACGGCAUGAUGUUAACAGCAGCUCCUCCGUCUACUAGUAAUCUGGUGAUGGGUCGGCCGUUGACAUGCCCCUUGAGGAAUAAUGCCUUUAGGUGUUGUCGUUUGUCAUCCUCAGGUUUCUCGAACGUGGCUGUCAUUGGCUCUAGAGCCAAUUGUGCCAUCUGUUCUUCUAUUGCCGACAUGUUCUAUCGAUCGGCAGGAGUCAUGAAUUCCAUCGACAGGAUAAAAACCAUGCUGACGCCGGCUGCCAAUUCCUGGUUGUCGUCGUCUUCCCUGUCAUUUCUUUUAGGGCGCCAGACCUGAGGCUUGCCGUUUUUCUCGUCCAUCAUAUGUUGUUCCUCUUCCUCCUGUUGUUCCCAUUGGCGGAGACGUUGUAUUCUUCGUUUUUGAGACUUAGUCAAUCCGUCAGGGCACCACCUAGGGUUCACAGGUUUAGUCGGUGGCCUGGCGCGUUCCCAUUCUGGUUUGCGUCCUAAGGGGUUCUCAUCUGAUACGCGAGCAUCAGCUAUCUCUUCCAGCCGAUCAUGAGCGCUGACCCUAUUUUCUGGUUGGCUGCGCCGAUCGAAUCUGCCCCCCAGCCUAUCGUUUCGCUCACGCCUGUCUUCCGACCGGUCAUAUCGUUCACUCCUGCCCCCCAGCCGAUCACGCACUUAAGGGUGCCGAUCUUCUUGUUCGCGCCAGUUCCUGCUGAUCGGCUCUGGCCUUCCAUCUCUGGAACGAGAUCUCCUGAAUGGCCGAUUGUUACGAUACGGGCCGCUGCACUCAGGACAAUUAUCAGCCGACGGCAACCUAAGGUUGUUCUCCCAGCAGUGGAUGAAGAAGGGGCAUCGCCAGUGAUCUUCAUGUCGCCGCAUCGCUUCCUCCCGGAAUCUUCAGCUUUCUUGUUGCCGUUGAUAUUUGUUGAGCAGAAAUUGGGAGGUGACGGGCCUGCGUGGUUCUCCCGAUCCGUCGCCUUCAUCCUCCAUCCGCCGUUUCCCCUUGAUGUCUUCAGGCGCCGCUUGAUUUCUGGGGUCUACGGCACCGCUCUUUUUAGCCGAUUCAGAUGUUAGCACCUUGGUCUGGAGUGAAUUCUUUCCCAUGUCAAUCAUGUUGGUGGGGAAGGGGUGCUGGUCGAUCUUCAUCGGCUUGGCCGGCUUUGUUGGUACUUCAAAUUUGAGCCUGCCUUGUUCAAUGGCCGAUUGUAUCUGUUGUCGGAAGAUUUUGCAUUCAUUUGUAUCGUGAGAGGUGGCAUUAUGCCAUUUGCAAUAUUUCAUCUUCUUCAGUUGCUCGGCCAACGGGAUCGUAUGGUAUGGCGAGAGCUUGAUCUGUCCUUCCUGGAGGAGAAGAUUGAAAAUUUUAUCGGCCUUUGAUGUGUCGAAACCGAGUGCUUCCGGCUCCUUUUUCCCGAACGGACAUGAUAUCGGCUUUUUUCCUUUAACCCACUCCGCCAGGCCGAUUUCUGUUUCUUCUUUGGAUUCAGCCUCCUCUAAGUAUGCUACCUUCUUCUGGAAAUUCCGUCGCGGAUCAAAGGGGCGUACUUCCUGACCAGACAAUCGAUGCACGAUUUGGCUCAAGCUCUCAAACUCCUGUGAAGCAUAUUUCUCUUUGAUAUGAGGCAGGAGACCCUCGAAGGCUAUGUCGGCCAAUUGUGCGUCAGUCAGGGCUAGGGUGUAGCAUUUGUUCCUGAUCUCCCUGAACCUCUGCAUAUACGAGGGUACCGGUUGAUCACUUCUCUGUCUGAGGCUGGUUAAAUCUGAAAGUUUCAUCUCGUGUACCCCCGUGUAGAAGUAUUUGUGAAACUACCUUUCUAGGUCAGCCCAUGUAAUUAUCGAGUUGGGUGGCAGUGUAGUGAACCAUUGGAAGGCUGACCCGGACAGGGAUGACGAGAAGAGGCGCACCCGUAAAGCAUCUUGUGUAGCUGCCUCCCCGCAUUGAAUGAUGAAUCUGUUCACAUGUUCGACAGUUGAGGUAUCAUCAAGCCUCGAAAAUUUGGUGAAAUCAGGAACUUUGUACCGAUGAGGGAACGACAGUAAGUCAUAAGUAGGCGGGUAUGGCAUCCUGUAUGUGUAGGUUUGCACCUUUGGUUUUAAACUGAAUUGAUCUUGGAUCACCUCCGCUAUGCGCGCCGUCCAGUCUGGUUGUUGUUGAUGCACUAUCGGCUGGGGAACCGGCACGUGUUGGUAGAUCAGCGGCGGGAUGACCGGGUGCUGGACGAAAGCAUGCGGUGCCUGAUGCGAUGCGGCUGGCUGCGUAGUCGGCAUCGGUUGUCUUAGUGAACCGGCUGUUUCGUCAUAUAGCACGAUCGGCGCAGUGCCCCGAAGUGUUUCCAUUGCUUCUGCCUCCCUGCUGAUCUCCGGUGUGACUGUCUGAUACUGUGGCAUCGUCGGCCGCGCAGCCGAUUGGAAAGGUACCUGGAUCGGAGAGCUUCCGUGACCGGCUGAUUGAUCUUGGACGGCCGUCGCCGAUGGUGCCCCCCAAGGCACUGCAUUCAGAGGAGACGACUACACAAAGGAUGACUGAAUGGGCUGCGGCUAGAGGUAUGGCGCGCCGUUAGGCCCCAGAUGUAUUGACGACGAAGGGGUGCUGGAGCUCCCAGCUUGAGCUUGGAUCGGCUGAGGAGCCGAGUAGGGUAUACUUGGACAACUCCUGGCUGAGGCCAUGAUAGGUGGGGCGUACAUUGGCCCCUGGUACCCUUGGGACACGCCGUUGGCCAAGGAGCUGAUGACGACAUUAUACACCGUAUUAGAAAUCACCGGGGAUUGAUCAAUGAAAGCUUGAUAGAUAGAUUGCUGAACCAUCUCGGACAUCUUGCCCGAGUCCUCGGCGAUUGUGAUCUGGCGGGGAGUUGGAAACAGAAUCUUUUUGAUAGUCUCCCUGCUCCUGGUACGACUGAAGGAUUGCAGACACGUCUUCCAGUACAAUGCCAUCUACUUUUCCAACUCUUCCUUCUGGUCGUCCUUGAGGUCUGCUUCCGUCAUCUCGAUGACGUUGUCUUCCGAGACUUCGGCAGCUUUCGACAUAGUGAAAAGGAGAAUCGGCCGGAGGUCAAGUUGAUGCAGCCCCGCCAACCUGUACGAACUCGUGAAAAGGAGAAAAGUAUUGGCGAAGUCGCCUGCUCGAAAGUAAAUGCGAGGAAAUAGUAGUUUGUUGUAUUGAUUUGGUGAUGAUUACAGAUCUAUGAAGGUGGCUAUUUAUAGCCUGUUACAAUCAAUUUCUUAACCGACUAGGACUCUAUCUCUAACUUUAAACGAAAAAAAAAUUUUUACAAGUGUGAUUCGCAUCGGAGUUGAUCGUCGCGUUCUCAUGGGCUAACUCCUUUUUCUUCAUAGUUCACUUUAAGCCCAUACUGGCCCAAUUGCUCCAGCCAAUCGGCCGAUUUCCACCAACCCCAUCCGCGAAAACACUGCAGCACCAAUUGGCCGAUCCUUAACUGUAGCACCAAUUGGCCGAUUCCCAUUCGUGACCCCUGUAUCUCGCCGCAUCUCCCGAUUUCUUCCUUUUCUGAUGCCGAUUUCACAUGUGUCAAAAUCUGGCGUCAACAGUUCCUCUAUAUUGAUUUAAUUACAAGACCAUAUCUGUUAAUUGGAACAUGGAGCGACCACCCAGGAAAACAGUGCAACCACAAGAACUAAAUAGCUCUGGUCUUGGCUAACUAAUUAGAGGACUCUAGUGCUAGACCGGUGAUAGGGGGGCAUGACUCGUGGAACCUCGUGCACUAGAACACACUAGGGAAGUCUUUGUAUAGGCCUCGUAGCGUCUCUAUACAAUCACACCUCGGAAGUGUGAUAUUGUGCUUAUUUUUGCACAGCAUGGUUGUCUAAAGUUCUCCUGAACUUUUACGCGACUUGUGAGUAAAGGUACAACCUCUGUAGAGUGUAAAAUUGAUAUAUCAGCCAUGCUCACGGUCAAGAGCGGCUUGGACCCUCACAUGAUUAAUUCACUUGAAGAUUAAACAACUUGUGUUUUUUGUUAUAUUCACGCUUUUGGUAUAUCAAUGCUCUAAAUUAAUUUUGGGGAUGGUAUAAACUUACAUUUGCUAGUAAUUAACUAUUGAAUAAAACUUGACCAACUAAAAGUGCUAAUCGCAGUUAACCUUGUCAGCCUUCUACCAUAUAAAGCCUUGCAUGUCAUAUAUUUUUUCUCUUGACGAGUACGGCAUGUGCUCACGCUUGUGUUUUAUAUAUUGCAUCUUCAACGUUCAGAUUGCUGCUCAGACUCAGAAAACUUUGAGGAUACUAUUGGAGAUUUUAGAGGAGUUCUAGGUGAGUUCCCCAGUCAGCUGCCUCUGGAGUUGUUGGAGAUCCGCUGCCUAUAUAUUAGAGAUUUUUAUCUCAUUUUUCUGGUUUCGUAAUCUAUGUAACUCUCUCUUUACUCUUUAACACUGUAUUUGAUAUUUACUGAAGUCACCGUAUGUGUGAAACUUGAUUCUGACACACAUAUGAUAGUCAUCUGGUUUUGCCUUUAAAACCUGGUGUGACACCAGACGGGUGUGCUACUUGCUGUAUUCCAUCAGAAUUAUCAUGCAAAUUCGUUCCCGGAGCAGGUUAUUCUGAUACACAUCGAAUGCUACGUUUCAGCAUUUGAGUGCAGCUGGUGCAACUGCAAGAAACCUCGUGGGUCACUGGCCGCCUCUGAAGCUGAGAGUGGGCUUCGUGCCUCAUCUGUUCCAAGAAUGCAUGCAAGGGAGAACUUCAGUUGAGAUAAUCGGAGGGAAGGCAGAACAUAUAAAUGAUAGCCUACAACAAAUGGAUAAGAUGGUACGAACAAAUGCAAUCAAACAUUACAUUUGUCAACCUGAUCUGACGGAUUAUAGAAUGGGUUGGAAUCCAGGACACGGCGCUGCCUACUUCAUGGUGCAGCACUGAAAUAGCAAGUGCAUCAAAAGUCGACUCUGGAUUUGAGACCCAGCGAGCUGCAAAGAGAAGGCGGUCGAAGUUAGAGGCAUGAAAGUUCAGGAACUCAUGCUUAGCCUAUGUAUAAGAUGGUGUUUAGGUUCAAUCAUGUACUGAGAAAGUAGCAUUUUCCUAUUUGAUAUGUAAACAAAUCUUCUUUUUUCUGUUUGGUAUCAGGAUUUUGGUCAUGUAACAACUGUAAUUUUAUUUUCUCAUUUAUAAUGAAGCUGAAUUUUGACGCAUGUGCUUUGCACAUUUUUUGAAAAGCUGAGUUUUAUAUUUUUGCUUCUCUAGUUGAGUGGAACAGGGAGCUUGUGGGACCUAUCAAUCCUUGCUUUAGUUGGGAUAAUUGAUCUAGAGUUGUGCUUUUAGUCUAGCAUACACAAAUACUAUCAGACAUAUGUGAGAAUAGGGGCAGUUGGAACAGGGGAACUGUAAACCAUUGAGUACACAAGGAUGCCAUGAAAUUUGUCCAUGCCGAUUACUGAGAUAUUUGUUUCACCCUAGUCGUUGCUGAUUUCCUUGCUCACCCGCCUCGUGAUUUGAGGCAAUCCUUCUAUAAUCAAUGUUCUGUUUUUCCUCCCUAUGCCUCACCCUAGUCUUCUUCUUUUUCCUCUCUAAUCUUGGGCAUCACUUCUCCUUCUUAAGUUUUCAUCUUUCCUCGCAGCACUAAGUUGGCAUCUUAAACACGGCAUGAAAAUUAUUCCUGCAAACUAGGAAUGUUCGAAUAUUUUCUGUUAUUGACAAGUGGCAGUUCAUUCAUCUGGAACCUUUCAAAGAAGAAGACAUUGUUGAAUUCCUUGUUCAGUGGUGUGCAAAUUAGAUAUGUCGCAUUAUGCUUUAUUCACCGGGUCUUGGAAGUAAUCCAACCACCCUCAAAUGAUGAUAGCUUUAUGCAUACUGGCCAAUUAUGUGCAGACACGUACUGAAGUGCAGAUUGUCACUUUGCUCUGAAGUCAAUACACAAUUUGGAAACAAAGUCAAGUCAAAAUAUAAUACCCAUGUAUAUGUCAAUUUAUCCCCACCCUCAGUAUCAUUUUCUUAUCUUGCUCUUGAAAUCAUCCUGUUAUUGACUAAUUGACUACUACCUUCUUCUCUGCAAACUUCAUAUCACUUUCUUCUUAGUUUCCAUCUUAAUUACCUCACAACAUUACCCUCCGAAGAUAGCUGGUAAACACUUCCAUGCUGCGAUAAUUUUUAUACACUAGUACUGCAACAAAUUCAUACAUGUUUCCGGUGUCUCAUGUAUACUGGUAUAUAUUUCAUUUCCUGAGCAGGGAAGGGAUGCUAAAAGUGCUUGAACCAUCCUAAUGUCAUAGGCAGUCAGUUCUGCAGUUAUCCAGGAGACAGUUUGCUAAGUCCUAUCCAAACUGGUUCAGAGGUACAAUGGGAAAGAGAAACUAAAUGUAAACAAAAACUUGGAGAGGCUAGAGAUGGCGCACAUCAAGUUGGAGGCUGUUUAACAAGUUUCAUUAGAUUCCUUAUGAAAUACAUUUUCAUAGCAUAAAAUAGUAUUAUAAAUAUAUAUACUCUUUAUUGUAAAUUUGGUUAAACUUAAAACAAUUUGACUUAGGAUAAACGACACUCUUUGCGGGAUGGAGGGAGUAGGUGUGAGGGCCACGGAGAAGAAGGACUUGCCUGAGUGGCUGGAGACGGCGAUGGAGACGUAGGUGAACUCGAAGUAUGCUUGACUUGGUCCCACCUCACAGGCCACAACCUGUUCUGUUUUGCAUCUCCUCUGCCUGCUGCUCUGCAUUGAGAGUAUCACCAACUAGAAACAGGGUAGGUGGUUAACCUGUCAGUUGUUGUGAUUAUGAUAGUAGGAUGGAUCUGUGAUCGAGCUAGCCUGUGAGAAGAAUUAAAGUAAAAAAAAUAUUAUCUCGUUAUGUGGCGCUACAAUCUGUAGAUGUGGGAUUAAAUCCAUCUAUAAGUUGGGUGACAUUAUGAUCUUGUCAGUGUAAUAUAAUCCAUCAUAUACAUAUACAGUCCCUUUUUUGUUCCAGAUUGUAGCUUCAUUCAUCAAGCAUGGUCCAUUUCAUCGACGGUAGUCCGUUGGACCGAAUUACAUGAUAGCAAAAAGAAAAAUGAAACAGUAGAUAAAUAUUUUUGAAUUGUGUUUCAAGCUUUCACUUUGGUUCCCUGACCGCCUGUCGCUGUUAGUUAUCAAACUAACCCAACUUUAACGCGAUCUGACGCACCUCUUCCACUUUCUUCCAUGUAAUGCAUGUUGGCCUAGUUUAUUCAAGCCUAGUUUGACUUAAAUCAGACUUCCUGAUUAAAAGAAUCCCCUUGAAGUGACCAAAUCCAUACAACCUCUAACUACCGAAGUUGUCUAACUUGGACAUCCCUAUCUUCUCCUUAAGUUAUCAUGUUGGCUCACAGUAUGAUUUGCCAUUAUUCAAUCAAAGGAAGGUUCCUGCAGCUGCUAAGCUAACUCUUUUCUUCUUGUUGACGCUUUUUCCGGUCAACACACGAAUGUGCUAGCUUGCGCGUGCACCAGUGAUCACCUCGUCGGCGCUUCUACACCUAGCCAGUCAGACCGGUCAGGGGGCCGGUCAGACCGGUCCUCGCAGGAACGCCACGAAAUCUCAGAAACACCACCUCGGGAGGGACCCCGUCAAAGAUGGCGCACCUAGGGUUGUCAUGAGAUCAGUCAGGCCACUCAGAACGUCCUCAAACACCGUCGAGAUGGAGGAAAGAAAGGGGUUGGAAAAGUUAGAGUUUGGAGAUAAAAGUGUAAAAGAUUUGUUUGACGAUUGGGUGUUAGCCCUCAAUCCUGAUUCCUCUCCAAUUCGACCGGGACUCUAGAUUUUGCCUCGGACUCGGGCUAACCGGUCCGACCGGUUGGGGCAACCGGUCAGACAGGUUGGCGCCCGCCAGAUCGGCUUUGAGCCUGAUCAGCGCCGCUGCCACUUUUGGGCAUCAACACAUGCCCCCCCUAUUUCUUGGUAAAGCUUGCCUAUCAAGAAAUAAGACUAAGGGCGAUGGAGUUCACCGGCCAUUUGCUCUAAGGACGAUAUUUCAAAAUAUCAGCCAUACCGCUUCUAUGCAUCUUGCCAAAUGCUUGGAUCAUACUUUUUCAAGUACUUCCCAUUCAGAGCUCUAGGUAGCUGAAAUCCACUUAAACUUUCUACCAUAUAGGAAUUUCCACGGAGUACACUUGUAAUCUUGUAUGGCCCUUCCCAACUUGGAGAUGAUUUUCCAAAUUUAUUGCUCUUGGCUCCUACAGGCAGGAUUGUUUUCCAAACCAGAUCUCCUACUUGGAAUGUUUUGGCCUUAACCUUCUUGUUGUAUGCUUUAGCCACACGAACCUUAUCCCUUUCAAUUCUAACAAAAGCCUCCAUCCACUUGUCGGUCAUUUCAUCAAUAUUAUCCAUCAUUAAAGCAUAAUAGGUAUCGAAAUCAAGAUCAUUUUGUUUAGCCAAUCUAUAUGCACCCAGAUUUACCUCAACGCGUAAAAUGGCUUCCUGACCAUAGACAAGCUCAAAAGGAGUAACUUUAGUUGCGCCAUGUCUAGAAAUAUGAUGAGCCCAUAAGGCUUCAGAUAAUACCUCAUGCCAUCUUUUAGGAUUGUGCUCUAUCUUCUUCUUGAUGAGCUUUAUCAAGAUCUUGUUGCUAGACUCGGCUUGACCAUUGGCUUGAGCAUAAUAAGGAGAUGAAUUGAGUAAUCUAAUGCCAUAAGACCCCACAAACUCUCGCACAUCUUUAGAUAUGAAUGAAGUUCCUUGAUCUGUAGUCAAAGUUUGCGGAAUACCAAAUCUGUGUAUAAUAUGCUCCUUAACAAACUCAAUCACCUCUCGAUGUGUCAUAUUCCUGAGGGGAAUUGCUUCAGUCCACUUGGUAAAAUAAUCAGUGGCCACAAUCACAAAACAAUGUCCCUUUGAUGAAGAAGGAUGAAUCUUACCAACAAAAUCUAAUCCCCAUCCUCUAAACGGACACAGCUUUAUUAUUGAAUGCAUUGAUGAAGCAGGUAUCAAUUGAACAUUCCCAAACUUCUAACACUCUUCACAACCUUUGUAGUAACGAAAGCAAUCGGCUAUCAUAUUAGGCCAAUAAAAUCAAGCUCGCUUAAGGAGCCACUUCAUUACACGAACCGAUUAAUGCGUACCACAAACUCCUUCAUGCACCUCUACCAUAGCUAAUCUAGCCUGAUCAAAAUCCAAGCACUUUAAAAGCAAUCCAUCAAUCGUCCGAUGAUACAAUUCACCAUCUACCAAAGUGAAUUUGAGUGCCCACCGUCGGACCUUUCUAUCAACUGAGCACUUAGGAUCCUAUAAAUAAUUAAUCAGAAGCGUCCUCCAGUCAUCCACUUCAUCCUUAGCAAAUUCUGGACGGCCCAUGGCUGAAGUGGGAUUUUCUCCAAACAGACAGGUCAGAUCGGCUGGCUAAGCGGUGAGACCGGUUGGACCGGUCAGACCAAUUUCGGAGGCCGGUCGGAUAGGUUCCUCCAGGACAUAACACUUGGCCUCGCAAAGCGUUGGCUUUCUUUCAUGAAAGUUCCUUUUCUGAACAUUAUAGCCAGAAGCUUGCUAUGACAGAGCGUUAGCCCUUGAAUUCUCCUCUCGUGGUACAUGAUAAAUAGUAAAUUCAUCCAUGCAAGAUAUGAUGUCUAGACAUUUAUCAAGAUAAGCAUAUAGGAAUCUAUCCAGACACUGGCAUACCUUGGAUACUUGCUGUACCACCCGUAAGGAAUCACCAUAAGCUUCAACAUGUUUCACCCCUGUCUCUCGUAAAAUUUCCAAAUCGAAUAGCAAAGCCUCAUAUUUAGUUUGAUUAUUGGUACACUUGUGAUCCAAUCGGCUAAGAAACUCAAAAACAACCCUGCUUGGUGAAAUAAGCACCACACCAACACCACAGCCACUUUUGCAAACCGAUCCAUCAAAGUGCAACUUCCAAUGGGUAACAAUGGUAUAACUGACAUCUAAAUCAAGUUGUUCAUCAAUUCUAUGCUCAACAAUAAAAUCGGCUACGACUUGCCCCUUCAUUGAUUUCAACGGUUCACAAACCACAUCAUAUUCAAUGAGAGCAUACGCCGAUUUGCCGAUUCUAUCACUUAAAAUAGGCUUCUGUAACAUGUAUUUAAUUAUGUCGGUCUGACAUGCCACUAUGCAAGUAUUUGAUAAUAAAUAAUGCCUCAACUUGGUACAAUAUGAUAUAAUGAUAAGCACAAUUUAUCAAUAAAAGUAUACCUUGUCUCGGCAUCCAACAAUUUUCUACUCACAUAGGUGACAACAUGCUCCUUCCCUUCGGUCUCAUGAGUCAAAACAGCCCCAAUAACACCCUCUUCGGUGGCUAUGUAUAAUCUAAAAGGAAUACCAUGCUUUUGGCACCUGAUGGACGGGCGGAGAAGAUGAAUAAUCCAUGAUUUCCUCAAAUGCUUCUGCUGUUUUGCCCCCCAAGUAAAAUCAGCUUCAUUCUUCAACCGAAGUAAAGGAGUAAACGCAUUCACCUUCCCAGACAAGUUGCAAAUAAAUCUCCUCAAGUAAUCCACUUUGUCCAAGAACUUCUGCAACUCUCUUUUGCAAGUAGGAGCUUGUAGUUUUUUAAUAGGCUCAAUCUUUUUAGGAUCAAUCUCAACACCUUUUUCAUGCACUACAAAGCCCAAGAACUUUCCAGCCGAUACACCAAAAGCACAUUUGAGCGGAUUCAUCUUUAAACCAUAUCGAUGCAUUUUCUCAAAUGCAAGUCUCAAAUCAGCCAAAUGGGACUCAGGCCGGCCGAUUUCACAACAAUGUCAUCGAUAUAUACUUCCAGCACUUCUCCGAGCAAAUCAUGAAAAAUUAAAUUCAUAGCCCUCUGAUAAGUAGCACCAGCAUUCUUUAACCCAAAGGUCAUAACAAUCCACUCAAACAAACCAACAAAUCCUGGACACACAAAUGCCGUUUUGGAUACAUCCUCUUCAGCCAUGAUAAUUUGAUUCUAUCCAGCAUUGCCAUCAAGGAAACUAAUCAUUUUAUGUCCAGAUGAAGCAUUAAUAAGUACAUCGGCUAUAGGCAUAGGAUAUUCAUCUUUUGGUGAAUCUCUAUUAAGGUCUCUGAAAUUGAUGCAUACCCUGAGCUUACCCGUGCCCUUCUUCUCAACAUGCACAAUAUUAGAAACCCAAUCAGCAUAUCGACAAGGCCUAAUACACUUAGCAUCAAGCAACUGAUUGAUUUCUUCCUUCACUCGGUCAUAAAUAUAGGAUUAAAACACCUAGAAAGUUGUUUAUGAGGCCUAAAACCGGGUUUGGUAGGCAGCCGAUGCUCAACUAGCUCGCAGCUUAAACUAGGCAUUUUAGUAUAAUUCCAUGCAAAAUAGUCGACAUACUCUUUUAACAACAUUAUCAAAUCAGUCUUGAAAAUAGGCUCAAGAUUCUUGUUUACAAACGUCGGCCUUGGUACAACACCAUCACCAAUAUCCACAUCCUCUAAAGGAUCGGCCAACGUAAACCCUUGUCCUAAUUUACUCAUGUCAUCAAUGUCCUCAAUGGCCUCACACAUAUCAUUCUUUUGUGCCCAAUAGUGCUGUAAUCUCUGCUGCAACCAUUCUAGAUUUACAUCCAUUAUAUCAUAUGUGGUAAGCUAGCUGAUCAUUAACCGGCUUUAGUACAACAGCGAUGAAACCAUCCUUUGUGCAACUAAAGUACCUACAAUCAGAAAGGUCUAUGCCAGAUAAGCACCUAACAUUAUCAUGAGCACUCAUGGCGGAACUAUCGGCUACAGCAACACAAGCCGAUGUAUCACCAUGCACAACCUCCACUUCAUCGCCAACCCAUUGGAUCAAGCAUUGAUGUAGUGUAGAAGGAACACAUUGGUUUGCAUGAAUCCAAUCAUGACCCAAAAUUAAGCUGAAGUUACCUUGGGUCUCAACGACGAAGAAAGCAGUAGGAAACGUCUUGCUCCCAAUAGUGAGCUCCAUGGAGAUGAUGCCUUUAGCUCCCAUAAGCUCGCCUCCUCCCACACCGCUGACAGUCAUGUUGGUCUUGAUUAGAUCCUCAUCUGAACCUCCCAAUUUCUUGAACAAAGAAUAGGGCAUUAAAUUGACAAAUGCCCCUCCAUCAACCAACAUUCGAGAAAUCGGAUUCCCAUUGAUGUGUCCUCGCAUGUAUAGAGCUUUCAGAUGAUUCUUAGCGGCUUUAGGCUUCUGGAAUAUAGCAUCCUUAGGCCCAAAGUCAAGGUGAGCCAAAUCCUCCUCCAAGAGUACAUAACCAUCCAUCGACAUAUGAAUCAUAUUUAUAUCCAGGGCUAUGCUCUUAGGUGAAGUACCGUAAUCAACAAGUUGUUCAUCAUCCUCUAUCUCAUGGACAGAUUCCAACUCAUUGCCGCAAACCAUAGGGGCAGAAAGAGCAAAACUGGGUGGCGUCUCUGGCUAGACUGGUCUGACUGGUUCCUCGGCUGGUCUAAUCGGCUCGGGCGCUGGCACAGAUGCCUCGACCGGUCUGACCGGUUCCUCAACCGGUCUGACCGGUGGAGCUGGGGCGUCAGCCUUUGCUCUCCACUUCUUCUUCUGAGGUGCUGCGGGUCUAUACUUUUUGAACGCCUCAUCCCUCUAUUUUUGUAGCUCUUGUUCCCUUUUUUCUUGCAGCCUCAACCUCUGCAACUUCCUUCUUUGUGUGCGAAUCAACCCAGGAGGACACCACCUGGGCAAGAAAUAUUUGGAGCUUGACCCGCUGCUGCUAGCCUCAUGAUCAUUGACUACGGGAACCCCCUACAUAGACGUCAUGGCUGGAUUGCUUGUGCUAAUUGGUCCUUUUGCAUUAGCAUCAACGGGAGCAUUCAUAGACCAAAUUUGAAUAAUAGCCUUCCCUUGGCCUUUUUCUGAGUCUACUUCCAUCUUCUGAAUCUCCUCCUCCCUCUUUUUAUUGCGAUACACUUGGUUCGGAGGAGGAAUCCAAGGUUCCCGGACAGACUGAUCUGACUGGUCAAAGUACACUGGUCUGACCGGUCGAGUCUGUGGAGCCUGAGCAGAUGAGCGAGGUGCCCAUCGGCCUUGCAUGGAGCACGAGAUUUGUCCAAAGCCGACUUUCUGGAACCUCCCUAUCAAGGAUGAAAAGAUGGCUACUGCACGGAUUGAUAGGGCACCCACAUUACCCCAUUGUCAUCCCACACUGGGUGUAGAGGAUUUGAUGCUAGAGGAGCCCUGGAUGUGGUGGGAUACUGCCUUAAUUUCACCUGGUCACCUCUCUAUCUCACAACCACUCUUGGUGGUGAGCCUUGUCUCCCCUAAUGAGUAGGCAACCUCAUUCUUUUAUUACCAGCUGAUUAUUGACGCCGGAUUUUGACACAUGUUAACGUCGGCGUCAAAAGAGAGGAAGGUGGCCGAUGCGGAAAAACAAGGGAGCUACACCUGAAGGAAUUGGCCAAUGGAGAUACAGUGUUUCGACCGAUUGACUGAGGGAGUCAAUGGAGGCUGGCCAAUUGGGAACCAGAGCAGCUUGGCCGAUGUGGGCCUAAAGUGGGCCAGGAUGGUGAUUAGCUGAAGAUGAAGAUUGGCCCGUAAGAAAAUAGUAACCGACUCCGAUGCGGGUUGCAUUCAUGUGUAAAUAUUUGUUAUCUUUAAAUUAGAGAUAAAUCCUAGUCGGUUAGGAAAUCAGUUGUAACAGGGUAUAAAUAGGUGCCUCGUAAGGUUUGUAAAACAACACAUGAAUCAAUAAUACAAAUCUACUUUUUCCACAUACUUUACUUUCAAGUCAGCGACUUCGCCAAAUCGUUUUCUUUUCACGAGUUCGUACGAGUUGGCAGGGCUGCAUCAACACGACCUCCGGCCAAUUUGUAAGUUCCGCGUAUCAAGAAAUAUCUAAGCUUUAACUUCGGGUGCAUCGUUGUGGUUUCGUUUAGAUUUAUUCACCGGUUAUCGAUAUUAACUAGAAUUAUAGGUUUUACAUAUUGUUUUAGUUUUAUAACAAGUUAUCCAGCUUGAGAUACGAUCUGUCGGCUUUUAUCAUUUUUUUUAUCUAUUUUCAUAUAGCCGAUUAGAUCUGUUCCAAGUGUUGCUUUUGUAGCAUUGUUUAGGUUGCUCUAGUGGUUUCUCUUACAGUUGCUACGUGAUCAUUGGCUAUUUUAUAGCCGGUUAUAUCUACAGUAAUUCGGCCGAUUCGCUGAUACGUCCUUCAAAACAGAUUGGAACUUUAGCCGAUCGAAGCCUUGGAAUUUAAUACUUUUCUUUCUUGUCAAUCAACAGGUCAGAUUGACUCGCACGCCGCGCGAACCGCACCAGGGUGAUAACUCGAACAGGAGCUAAGUAGAUUCUCCCAAGUCGUGUGUCCGACGGUGAGAGUCAUCAACCGAUUUUUAGCGUCAACACACUUUUGGCACGCCCAGUGGAACCAGAGUCAAGAUUCAACAUGUCGAAGGCUGCUGAGAUCUCGGAAGAUAACGUUAUUGAAGUCACUAAAGCAUAUCUCAAGGACGACUAGAGAGAUGAGGUGGAAAAGGCUAUGGAAUACUACAAGAAGGCAUGCCUACAAUCCUACAGUCGUAACAGAAGCGGGGAGACUGUCAAAAAGACUGCUCUUCCAACUCCUCGCCAGAUCACCAUCGCCAAAGACUCAAGAAAGAUGUCUGAGAUGAUCCAGCAGUCUGUUUAUCAGGCUAUGAUCGAUCAGUCCAAGGUGAUGACUCACACAGUGUACAACACCGUCAUCAGUUCCAUGGUCAAUGGUGUGGCUCAACGGUAUCAGGGACCAGCUUACGCCCCUCCCAUUGUCGCACCGGUCACAGGCUUCUCAGUGGCGCCAAAUAUGUCCCAGUCGGCUCCUUAGCCGAUGCAGAUGCAGAGUGGGGGAUACAGCACCACAAUACCCCAAGGAUAUAACGAUGCAAUGCCCUAUCUAUCACAAGCACCGUUUUACCGUGCACCAGUUUCCCCCAUGCAACCGCCAUCUGCAACCUCGGCGCCGUGGGGAACGGUGGGAAUACCUGCCGAUCUGGAUCCAUCCACUAGUUACAAAAAAUCUCUGGUGCAGGUGUCGUUUCCAUCGGCCUCUCAGCCGACAAUCCCGCAGUACCAGCAAACUACCCCGAAAAUCGGCCAGGGGGCAAGCGCUCUAGAUCCCCUCAGAACUGCGGCGCCAAUAGUAUUGUACGAUGAGGUGGCAGAUGCACUACGUCAUGUUGACCCCAUACGACAGCAGCUGUCGGCUCCUCAGCUGACAGUCCAGCCGCAAGAUCUGCAGCAUGUGCCAGCCUAUCACCCAAUCGCGGUGCCGCAAGUUCAACAGCACGUGCCGAUUCCUCAGCCGGUUGUACAUCAGCAACAACUGCAUCAACAGCAAGUGGACUGGACCACAAGAAUAACUGAUAUAAUACAGGAUCAGUUUGGAUUAAAGCCAAGAGUGCAGACUUAUACGUAUAGGACGUCGUACCCACCCGCUUACGAUGUGUUGCCGUUCCCUCAUCGGUACAAAGUGCCCGACUUCACCAAGUUCUCGGCCCAAGAUGACAUGUCCACAGUAGAGCACGUUAACAGAUUCAUCAUCCACACAAUUCCAUCAGCUGAGUAGCUCAAGCAGAUGAAGUAUUGCAAGUGGCACAAUGCCACGUCUCACGACACCAAUGAGUGCAAAGUCUUUCGUCAACAGAUACAGUCGGCUAUUGAGCAAGGAAGACUUAAAUUCGAGGUCCCCAUAAAGCCAGCAAAGUCGAUGAAGAUCGAAUAGCACCCCUUCCUUGCCAACAUGGUCAACACCAGAAGGAAUGCGCUCCAGACCAAAGUGCUGACAUUAGAAUCGGCCCAGAAGAAGCGGCGCGGUGGACCCCAGAAACCAAACCUCGGCCGAAGAUGUUAAAGGAAAAGGCCAGAUGGAAACUAAAGGAGAAAGCUCGGAGAGGCCACGUCGGCCCGUCACAUCCCGGGACCUGCUCAACAAGUACUAGAGGCAGCGGGAGGACACAAGGCGCCGGGAAGAAAUGAUGUGCCAACACGAAGAUCACUGGAGAUGUCCAUUCUUCAUUCACUGUUGGAAAAAUGACCUCAGACUACCGUCGGCCGAUAACUGCCCUGAACGCAACGGUCAGUAUCGCAGCAGCCGCCCGUUCAACAUUUCACACUCCGAGGAUCGAGGACAAGAGCCGAUCAGCAGAAACAGGCUCGAGCAAGAGGAUUGGCGCGUUUCAGUGCAUGAUCGGCUAAGGGGCAGAGUAGACCAGUGUAAUCGGCUGGGGGGCAGGGCCAGUGCACAUUAUCGGCUGGGAGAAAUGGGAACGUGCUAAGACGAAGACCCUCUAGGGUUGGAGCUAGACUGGGAAUGCGCUAAGCCGCCAAACAAACCAGUGAACCCUAGAUGGUGCCCAGAUGGUCUGACUAAGUCCCAAAAAAGGAGAGUCCAACGUUUGCGCCAGUGGGAGCAGCAAGAGAAGGAACAAAGGCAAGCAGUGGACAAGAGAGGAGUCAAAUCUCAAGUUUGGCACCCCAGAAGAAAAGCUGAUAGAGAAAACGAUGACCACGACUCGGCCGCCGAUGUCGACAUGGUGUUCAUCUUGCCGAUGGAAUUUAUGGCUCCUGUUGACCGCGACAGGUCAACAGAAAUAGAGGAGUAGAUGGCACAACUGGCUCUGGAGCUAAUGACUCCUACUUUUGAAAAACCCAAGGAUGAAAAAUGCUAGCAUCUCAAGGCUCUGUUCCUCAAAGGGCAAGUCAACGGACGACUGGUCGCUAAGCUGUUGGUAAAUGGAGGUGCUGCCAUGAACAUCAUGCCGUAUGUUAUGUUCCGCAAACUGGGCAAAGGAGAAGAAGAUUUAAUCAAGACGGAUAUGAUGCUCAAGGAUUUCGAAGGCAACAUAUCUUCGGCCCGGGGGGCACUCUGCGUCAACCUCACCAUCGGCAGUAAGACCCUACCCACCACUUUCUUUGUUAUUAAUGGUAAAGGGUCCUCUAAUAUGUUGCUCGGGCGAGAUUGGAUCCACGCAAACUGCUGCAUCUAGUGGAUCGGUGACACCAUUGAAGUAGUCACCGCCGACUCCGCCUACAGUGUUGCCGCAGUCGACGCGCAACAAUGGAGCUAUGAGCAUGUUAGGUGCAUAGCUGGAAGGACUUGGGACACUGAUUUCUUGAAGGUGUUUGAUUUCGGUCUACAGCUGAUCCAAGAAGUCAGCUCGGAAAUAUAAGAUUAAAUGGAUCAGUUCGUUCGAGAAGACGGAAAACUUUGGCACGAGUUUACGUCAGUUGAUUCUUUGGAGAUAGUGGACCUUGGAGAUGGUAGCAACCCAAGGCCGAUGUAUAUCAGUGCUAGGUUAGACCUCGAGUACAAGCCAAAUUUGUUAAGAGAGUUUAAAGAUUGUUUUCCUUGGGAGUAUCAUGAAAUGCCUGGUCUAGACCAGUCCAUUGUCGAACACCGGUUGCCUAUAAAACUAAGGUAUCGGCCGUAUCAGCAGCCUGCACGAUGUUGUAAUCCUAAAAUUCUACCUGAUAUAAAGGCCGAAAUCACAAGAUUGAUUGAAGUAGGAUUUAUUCGGCAGUGUCGAUAUGCCGAGUGGAUUUCUAAUAUUGUUCUUGUAUACAAGAAGAAUGGAAAGUUACGUGUUUGCAUUGACUUUAGAAACCUUAACCAAGCUACACCGAUGGACGAAUACCCGAUGCUGACGGCUGAUGUUUUGAUAGACGCGGCCGCAGGACACAAAGUAAUCAACUUUAUGGAUGGUAAUGCCGGGGAUAAUCAAAUACUAAUGGCCGAAGAAGGUAUCUCAAAAAGGACCUUUAGGUUCCCUGGUCAUCUCAGCUUGUUCGAAUGGGUAGUCAUGACAUUCGGUUUGAAGAACGCCGGAGCUACAUAUCAAUGGGCCAUGAAUUAUAUAUUCCAUAAGCUUAUUGGUGUCCUGGUGGAGAUUUACAUUGAUGAUGUCGUCAUCAAGUCAAAGGGGCAUCAAUAGCAUGGCCGAUUUGCGCAAGGUAUUGAAGUGCACAAGGAAGCAUGGGUUGAAAAUGAAUCCUAACAAGUGUACUUUUGGCAUUUCGGCUGACCAAUUUCUGGGCUUCAUGAUCCACGAGCGAGGCAUCGAGAUCAAUUAGAAGAUUAUAGCCGCCAUCAACAAGGUUGUGGCCCCACAAGACAAGACUGCGCUACUAAUCGGCAAGGUCAACUUCAUCCGGUGAUUCAUAUCGAACUUGUCUGGGCGCAUUCAAGCUUUCACCCCGUUGUUGAAAUUAAAACCCAACAAAGAGUUUGUCUAGGGCGAAGAACAGCAGAAAGCAUUAGAUGACAUCAAAUAGUACCUGGUCUCCCCGCCGGUGUUGGUCCCUCUGCAGGCUAAUAAGUGUAUAUAUCGGCCGAUGAGCGAGCUAUCGGCUCGGCGCUGGUCCAAGAGUUCGAGGGGAAAGAAAGAGUAAUUUAUUACGUCAGCAGAAGACUUUUGGACGUUGAAACCAGAUGCCAUCUGGUGGAACAGCUGUGCCUUUGCCUAUAUUUUUCUUGUACCAAACUCAGGCACUACCUGUUAUCGGCAGAGUGCGUAGUCAUAUGCAAAGAUGAUGUCAUCAAGUAUAUGUUAUCACUGCUGAUUUUGAAAGGGAGAAUUGGAAAGUGGAUUCUGGCCCUCUCAGAAUUCGACCUGAGGUACGAAUCGGCCAAGGCUAUCAAAAGUCAAGUAAUGGCCGACCUCGUAGCCCAGCACUAUGGACCAGAGAUUACUGUUGUCGAGCCAGCUCCAUGGACUUUAUUCUUUGAUGGAUCCUCGUGUGGAGUCGGAUCAGGAAUCGGCAUCAUCCUCAUAUUGCCUCGGGGGGCAAGUUAUACUUUCUCUCUACCGAUUGAGGCGUCCGCCACUUAUAAUCAUGCGGAGUAUUGGGCUGUCUUAAAGGGCAUCCAACUGUUGAGGGAUAUCAAAGCCGACGCGGUGGAAAUAUUUGGGGAUUCCAUGCUUAUAGUGGAUCAGUUAACUGGGAAAUGUGAGUGCAAGGAUGAUAUUCUAAGAAUUUAUUAUGAAGAAUGCCUCCAGUUACUGAAAGAGUUAAAGACCGCACUUAUUGAACAUAUGCCUAGGGAUUACAACGAGGAAGCUAAUAGGCUAGCUCAGCAUGCUUCUAGUUAACGGCCGAUUCAAGGCGCUAUGGCUCUGGAGCUUGCGGUUGAUGACUGGAGGAGAGAAAUCGCCGAUUAUCUGAAAGAUCCGUCCAAGAAGGUCGAUCGGCAAAUACGCUUUCAGGCUACAAAAUACGUAGUGUUUGAAGAUGAUUUGUUUUACCAGACGAUUGAUGGGGUGCUACUUAAAUGCCUUGGAGUGGAGGAAGCAAAAACUCUGAUGGGAGAAAUUCAUGAGGGUGUAUGUGGGACCCAUCAAUUGGCCUAAAAGAUGAAGUGGAUGAUUAGAAACAAUGGGUAUUACUAGCCGACGAUACUCGAAGAUUGUUUUAAAUAUUAUAAAGGGUGUUAGGAUUGUCAGAAAUUCGGCAACGUGUAACGAGCACCAGCCUCGGCUAUGAACCCAAUAAUAAAGCUGUGGACAUUUAGAGGUUGGGGAAUUGACCUCAUCAGACAGAUUUAUCCACCUUCGAGUAAAGGGCAUAAGUUCAUAUUGGGGGCUACUGAUUAUUUCACCAAGUGGGUGGGAGACAGUUCCUUUAAAAAUCAUGACGUCGGCCAACAUGAUUGAAUUUGUGAAGGAGCAUAUUAUCUAUCGGUUUGGUAUUCCCCAGACUAUUACGACUGAUCAGGGAUCGAUGUUUACCUCAGGAGAGUUUGGGGACUUCACUGCCGACAUGGGAAUUAAGUUGUUAAAUUCUUCUUCAUAUUAUGCUCAGGCCAAUGGUCAGGCUGAAUCGUCCAACAAGGGGGUGAUUAAAUUGAUUAAAAGAAAGAUCGAAGAAUAACCAAGGCGGUGGCAUACGAUGCUGAAUGAGUCCUUGUGGGCUUACAGGAUGGCCUGCCACGGAGCCACCAAGUUGUCCCCUUACCAAUUAGUAUACGGGCAUGAAGCAGUUUUGCCUUGGGAGUUGAAGACUGGGUCUAGGCGUUCGGUUCUUCAAGAUCAGUUGUCAGCCGAUGACUAUUCCACUCUCAUGAAAGCGGAGUUGGAGGAUUUGGCAAGUCAGCGGUUGAGGCCCCUGAUUAGUAUCGAAGAGAAUAAGAAAAGAGUUGCCAAAUGGUAUGACAAGAAGGUUAAGGUCAAGCAGUUUUCCCAAGGAGACUUGGUCUGGAAGCUGGUUCUGCCGAUAGGAUCCAAAGAUCCCAAAUAUGGAAAGUGGUCACCUACUUUGGAAGGGCCUUACCGGAUUAGUCAGUGUGCUCCAGGCAAUGCGUACAUGCUGGAGACCAUUGAGGGAGAAGAAUUUACAAGGGCUCUAAAUCGAAGAUAUUUAAAAAGAUACUAUCCCAGCAUAUGGGUAGACACUUAGCCGAUAAUAUGGUAUAUCGGGUUCCCAUGGCCGAUACCUAUUGACUUGCGUUCAUACAGCCGAUGUGGAGGGCAUCCCCUCGAGGAUGAAAGAGGCAAGGGAGUGUUCAUACAAAUUAGCUGAUUACUAGUCGGAACAUGGCCGACAUGGCAAAAGUUGCCCUUAGAAUAAAAUACCAACACACUCAUUGAGUUACAAUACUUCCACGAUGUUUCAGCUGGGCUUUACUCGUGUUGAUCUCUCUCUGAAUUCAGCCCAGUUCGAUCAGAAGGCGGGUGCUUUUCUCCUCCAGAUCCACCAUGUCAUCCUCGAGGGCUAUCUGAUGGGGCAGUUGAUGACUUGUUUCGGCUGGUGGCUGAGUUGGCCUUCUAGAGCCGUUGGCUUCAAUGUGGUCUGCAAUUCUUUUGACAUGCACAGAAAGGUGAUCCUUGAGUUCCUCACGAUGAGCUUGGAUCAAAAGCUUCAUCUGCUUGGGUCAGUGGUUCGUCGGAGUACAUAAUCUCGAUGGCUCGUUCGAGAUCGGGGCUAAGCCGGUUCGGCUGAAAGAAUAAUAGGCAAACUGAUUAACAGAAAGGACUAGUCAAAUAGUAAAAGAGUUGACUUCGUACCUAAUUGACGGAGGAGGAAGAAGCCAUCUUGGUGCCUGAUUGGAGAUCUGGAAGCGUCUAGCAGAGGAAGAGUGUAUGGGUGUUAUGCAGGAUGCGAAGGCUUGUAUUUAUAGGACGAGGGGACGACAGGCAACGGUUAGUAGAAGAAGGCAUUCAAAGCAAACGACCGUUGAGUUAAAAAGCUACGAGAAAGCCGUUUGGAUUCACAUUCAAGAAAGAAAUGUUGAAAAGUGUCGAUGCUAUACAGGGCAUUCAAAAUGUCGUUCAAGUUCAGCACGGUACACUCAAAAGGUCAUUUAAGUUCAAAUACAGUUAUCCAAGGAGGGUAUUUAUGGCCUCAAUCGCCCGCAGGCAGAUCUGAUCUGCUGAGUCUAGUACUCGUUGUUCCUCAUCGACCGAUCUGGGAACUUCUGGCAUAUUGCGGUGAAGUCGGAUGGCCUCGUGAGCAAGGGUCUGCCUUUCUUGUUUUAAAUCAGCGAUGACGGCUGAGAGGUCUUGGAGUUGCUUCUCCUCAGCAGUGAUGGCCUUCACAACUUGCUCCAUCUCUUUGGCAAGUUCUGCCCUACGCCAUUUAAGUCGAUCUAUGGUGCUGACAAUGCUUGGACAGAAAUUUUCAAGGGCGCCGAUCCGGUAGUGUACCACUUGGGAUUGGUGUUUAUAAGAUUCCUCUUCUUCGCGUGCCUUUUCUAGUUUGGCACGAUCGGCCAUAUGUCACAAAGCUCUGAAAACUGGGAUCUACAUCAAUUCAAUGUAUGCCGCGGGUGCAAGACCUUCUUCCACAUCUUCUAGGACUCGGCCUUUGAUUUCAUUGAAUAUUCGUCGAAUUGGAGAGGAAUCUUCCACCAAUCGGCCGAUAUCGUCCAGAAGAAGGGCUUGUAUGUUCUGGAGCUUGGCGCGGACCUCUUCUGGUAUUGAGCCCAAAGCUAUCUAGCGUGAAGCAACCUCCUCGUCAUCAGAGACUAUGACCGUAAAGGAGAAAAGGCUAUUGUUGGGCGUGUCUUGUUCCUGUGAGAAAUAAAGGGAAAAAGUGCUUUAGCCGACAGGAGUAAAAAAUCGGCUGGUAGAGGUAAAGGGUCCUUACUUCUUUGAAACGGAUUUCCUCUACUUGGGUUGGCAGGAUUGCUGCUCCCGCUUCAGGAAUCAGUGCUGGCAAUUCACCAGAAGAGGAGGAUUCAACAAUGAUCAGCGCGGUACUUGGACCAGCGUCCUGGAGAAUGGGAGGAGAAGUGUUUGUGAGUAUGAAAGAAUAAUUGGAUCUGGGAACGGGUCUUAGUUAUCUUACCUCUGAGAACCGCACGGCCGAUGGUUGCUUGAAGGGUAUGAUCAAUGUGUCCGAGAUAUCCUGCGCUUAAAAUCAGUCAGUUUUAGUGAAAGAUUGGGGAGAUCAAGUGAAAAUCACAUUCUUUACCUCAAUUGGAAAGCUUGCUGGUGGUACAAUCUCUGCUCGAGGAUCGGCCAAUUGAUGAGCGGUUUGCUCUGGAAGGAGUUGUGCAACCUGAUAAGAGGAGGUGUUUUAAUGUUGACAAUAUAUUUAGAAGUGUUAGGAGCAUGUGAGAUUACCUGUAGAGCUUCUACAAGCAGAGAUGCAGCCGUCGAUCUAGCUUUUGAAACCACUUGGGGGUCAAUCUCCUGAAUUGUCGGCAGAACUUCUGAUGGGGCUGGUACGGCUGAGGGCUCGGCCGAUGGCGUCGCCGAUUGAUCGGUCGUCAGAGUUACUGCUGAUUCAGUACAGGCUCGUACUCAACGGCUUGUUUUCUUUGAAGAGGACAUCUUCAGCUUGUGCUUCAAUCGGCCAAUAGCUAUGUCCUCCAUCAAUGGGGCAUGAUAGCCGAUGAGCGGGUAUGGUGUGUACGGAUGACGGUUCUCUAUCGGCAUACCACUUCGGCUGUGUGUUGGAGGUGCCUGGCUAUCGGACUACGCAAAGAGGGAGAGGCUGUAAUGAGAACUUUGUGACAUAAGGAGAUGAAAAAAAGAAAUCAGCCAAGAAGAUUUUGUUACCUCUGCGUUUGUGUCGAUAUGAGCAAGGUCCAACUGGUUGCAAUAUACUGCAGGGGAUGCACAAAAAAGAUGUUGCUUCCACUUGACCCACCAUAGUUUAAAUUGUUGAGUGUAGAAGGGUGCUACCAGCCAAUUGUUCAAGUCAAUGGUGCUGGAGUCUGGUAUCAAGUUGCACAGCCGAUUAUAUUCAAACCCUCUUGAAAGCGGCUCACGGAACUACACUCGGCCGAUGAAGUGAACUCCAAUGGGAACUACACUAAUUGUCGGGCUGCCACCGACGGAUUGUAGAAUUCAUACGUCGUAGAGUUCUUUCCAGAGAAGAAGUUUGCUGGCAAGAUCCCGGGCUUAAUCAAGAGGUCCAUAAUCCUGUCUUCAAAAGAAUUAGUGUCCAAGUCAAAGCAAUCAGGAUUCUCAAAAAGUGGCUCUUCUCUCUGGUACGGGUACCAGCUCAUGGUUUCUUCACUAAAGCCGAUAUAGAAGCAUCUGAAAUAUUCGGCUGUUCUUGAGGGAGUAAAAUUGCUGCCAAGGAAAGAUGAUACAGCUUCGCCGAAAGAGGUGCAACAACGUCGUGUCGAUGGGUCAUCCUCUGAUUCAAUAUUGGGGAAGGUCUUGGCUUUGACCCGUUCUCUGGAGAUUUUGCUCAUGUAGAAGUUAAGCCAAAGGGUGAUAAACCACCAAGGACCACCAGGAUUCCCAAUAGGCUCUCUAGAUGAUAGCUUCACGGUGAUUUGGUGCAUCAUAUAAUAAACCGACCCCAGCAAAUGUUUUCCCAAAGGGAUAGUAGCACCUCUUGCUAGUGCUUCGGCCAGGUCUUGCGUGUUGGAGGUGGGACCAACCGAUCUGCCACAGAAUAAGUGCUUUUCUAGCCACAUCAUCAAGAAGGUCAUAUACUCUUUCAAUAACGGGUCCGGUCUUCAUGUUCUUUUCGACAAAAUCUUUCCAUCCGCCGAUGCCCUUUGUUUCCAAACGGUGAGUGGGCUUGAUUAGAAGGUCGAAGGGUGUAACACCCAGUGUUAUUAAAGGCCUAAGAAGGUGAUUUAGAGGUUAAUGAUGAAUUUGGAUGCAAUAGAGGUAUUAUGGACCAAAGUCAAAUUUGGGUCAAAUUUGACCAAAGAUUCGAAUUCAAGUUUCAUUAUUUAAAAAUUUCAAAGGACUCCUACAACCAAGAGUUGGGCGACAACUUGAGAAAUAGAAUCUUUAAUCUAUGGUUAACCAUUGCAGAAGUUCUUAGCCCAAGAAACACGAAUUUAAAUUCCCAAAUUAGAACUCAAAGAGGGAACAAGUGAUUAUCGAGCUAUCUGUCGAGAACUGUAUGGCAGAGCACCCGGGGUGUUAAAAACACUCAAGAAUGGCCAAGAACAGGAUAUGACAAAGAUUUGGGGGUUAAUGAGCUUUUAUGGCCAAAGUCAACUUUUGGUCAAAGUUUAGUCAAAACGCCAAAUUGAGGUUCAAAUUUAGAAAAAGAUGACAAAUGCGCAGAUUUGGACUUUAUGGACCAUUGGAACUUAAAGAGACCAUUUGAGAAGCAAAUGGACCUUAAAUUGUCCAAAAAUCAAAAUGGAGGAUGCUCCUGUUCACUAACUGAAAAUAGGAAUGAUUGCCUUUGGAAAACAGUUCUAAAAGAAAUGAAUUUUGAUUCAAGAGAUUUUGAAAAAAAUCCUAUGUGGACUUUUGGUUUUAUGGGCAAAUUGGAACUUUUAUAUUAAGCUUAGCAUGAUCUCCAAGUUUGGCAUGAAAUAAUUGGCAUUUGAAGUGUUAAGUGGAAAUUCAAGAUUUAAUUGGAGAAGGGGGUGCUGUUCUGUUAAGAAGUACAGACAGUCAGUGCAAAUUCAGUUUAGUGAAAAGCAAGAAAUGGCAGUUAGCUUCAGAGCUAGAUUUGGAAGAGAAAAAGAAGGAUUUGACUUUUGAAAUGAAUAAGAUAAAUGUAGAGAAAUAGGUUAUCUACAACUUCUAUAAAGGAAGUUUUGAGAGUUUAAGUGAAAAAAAAUGGAGUAAACACAACCUGAACCUUCAGCUCAGAAAAAUUGACAGUUCUGUCAAUACUGGAGGAAUGAACAAUAACAGUCAGUUUUGGAAGUAAAUUUCGAACCCUUAGAGUCAAAAUCAGCAGAAACUCCAAAUGUAUCAAAGAUAGUCACAAAUAUUUCCUACAACUUUGUUUAAGGGCUCUGAGCAAGACUCUAUUGAAUUUUAGCCACGAAAAUCGACCUGAAGAAAAUCUGUCAAAAGGCUUAGCUGUUAAAAAGGGAAAAGUAGCAGUUAGGUUCAGAAGGAAAUUCCCCUCGAUUGGUUGGGAAUCUGAAGAAAGUGUAAUAAGAUGAAUUGAAAUUCAGCAAAUUUGCUACAACUUUUAUAAAGGGACUUUUAAAAGAGCAGUUUGGAUUUUUGUCGUAACUGGCUGUUGAAGUUUCUGACAGCAAGGUUCAAAAGGAGAAAAUUUAGUUAAGCUGAAGUUCAAUGUCCAGAAAAGUUCAGAGACGUUUUACAUGAGGAAGGAGCGAGAUUCAACCAAAAGUACAAAUCUAUGAAAGAUAGAACUUUGGAUUUCCUCCAACUUUGAUAUAGGGAGUUUUGGAUGUGUUGUUGGCAUGGAAGGUUCAAAUUUAAAAUGAAGUCCACAAAUGGCAGGUUGAGCUGAUUUCAGCUGAGAAGUCGUGAGAAAUUUCUAAGUCUGAAAAACAGCAUCGAUUAGCAAUCUUUGGUGCAAGUUUUUGAAAAAUGUAGUGUGUAAGAGAUGGGUUCUUAUGUGCAAAAUGGAACUUUUGUUGUAUGUUGAACUAAGAUCAGUGGAAGUUGGGCAAGAUAAAGUGAGUUUGGGUAGUUAAAAUGGAACCCAAAGUGGAGCAAAUGGCUGCUGAGAGGUCUGACGAAACUGAAUCGUUCUGGUUCAGUUACAGAGAGUUUUCGGCCGGACUUUGAGUUUCGAAAUAUUGGUGCUAGAGUGCUCGCCUCAGUUAAUGGUCAAUCUAACAAUUGAAGUACUCAGUUUACACUACAAGAUUGUUUAAAGGAGCGUCGCGAAUCGCAAUAAAAAUUUGGGAAGCUUUUAACCUCUGAACCUUGGAAGAUUUGAGUACAAGCAAGUGUUAAUAGAAUAGAGGAAACAGAGAACGUGCGUCGCCAUUCAUCCUCGCAUGCCGGCCAGCACGAUGAGCUGAGCCACGUCCAGUACGCCGGCGAGCUGAGGUGGCAGCCAUGCGUGGUGAGAAGCUUCAAAAAAAGUACUGCUCCUGCCCUUGCUCUUAUCCGUUUUUUUUUUUAUGUCACCAUUCUUUUCUUCUCCCGGCCAAGAGCAGAACACAGCUAGCGCCAGCUCCCUCUGAUUUUUCUUUCUUGCACCGCAGCACCUGCUCUCUUUGCCCUCUCCUUCUUCCAGCGCAAGCUUGAGCCAUCCCUGUCUCCUUUUUCCUCCAGCGCAGGAAGCAAAGCAGCGCAGCAAACAGCACAGCAACAGAGCAGCUCCUGGCCUCCGGUCCGCUCGAUCCGCUGGCCUGCACCACCGCCUGCGCGCCUUGGCUCGCCGCCCCACAUGCACCAUCUCCACCAGCGCCUGGCCACCCGUGCUUGCCCUGCUUCUGGCCUCCACUGCGUCUACGCGCCCAUCGCCGCCGUACCCCUUUCCUCCUUGUUCUGUUCUUCUCCCCACCGAGCAAACAAGCAAGCUGCAAGGAGUAACUUUGCUCUCUCCCUCUCUCUCCAGUAGCUCAAGCACGCUGCCCCUUUUCUCCGUUUCCUGCUUUGCACGAACAAGCACCACCAGCUACGCACACCACCAUGCUGAGCUCCUGUCUAUUUCCUUUCUACGAAGCAAGAUAGAGCAACAGCUCCCAUUUUUUUUUUCCCCCUCUUCUUUGCCUUCCACCCCGUCCACAACCUGUUCGAUAAAAUGCCGCUCAGAGGGUUCGCGCAAGAUGUUGUCUCUUAUGCUGCACUGGUUGAAGGACUAUGUGAGACAGGGAGGAUUGAUGAGGCACUGGAGUUGUUCAGGGAGAUGAAGCGGCCAAACAUGCACACAUACGUGGCCUUGGUGAGGGGGUUGUGUGAUGCUAGAAGAGGGAAGGAGGGGCUCUGUAUGCUGCAGAAGAUGAAGAAGCUAGGAUGGAGUCCAAGCACUCGUGCUUAUGUAGCACUGAGAAAAUGAUGGAAGGAGAUGGUUUAGCUGCUGAUCAGUAUACUUGCAAUGUGCUAGAAGAUGCUUUGGUUGCGGGUGAGUGAGAAAGGUUUUUCCGGGGGUUUCGGAUAAUUAUAGGUUUUUCUUUUGCAGAUAAAUAGUUUAAAUUCGUUUAUCACUAUUUAAUUCAUUAGAAAUUAUAGAUUUGACCCAAAAAUAGUGAAACCAAUUUUAUUAGGAAUGUUUUAUCUUCCUUUAUGCAUUAAAAAUUCUUACACCCUAGGAAAAAGGUAAUAAAAAUUAGGUAUUUAUUUAGUACCUUUGGUUAAGGUAUUUAAAUAAAUACUUAGUCUUUAUAAAAUGGAUAAAAUAUUGAAUAAUGUUUUAUUAUUCACAAAUUCUUAGUAAUCCAUAGGAAUUAGGUUUUGGAGAUUAGAAUUUAUUUAUAAUGCUUUUCUAAAUAAAAGAAAAGGCUUAAGUAGGUUAGUAAGGAAAUUAAAAAUUGUGGGUUAAUCUUUAUGGGUAGUUUAGUGUUGGCUUGCAACUUUAUCAUGAAGAUAGGUUGUAUAGUCACUUGUUGGCUUGCAACUUUAUCAUGAAGAAAAGUUGUAUAGUCAUGUGUUCAAAAGUUUGCAUCUCUAACUCCUGCAUGUACUAAAUCGUAGACGUUGAAGCUCCUGAAGUGGAAUUCGUGGAAUUCAGCUGAGGAUGGGCAGCGUCCGCGAAAGGUUGAAGUGCCUCUUUUACCAAAGGGGUUUUCCGAAGAACUAACAUUUGUUGAUCCCAGGCAAGCCCCGGUGCAUUUAUACCUAUCUAUUUUGGAGUCGUUAUUUCAUGUGACUAGUUAUAGGUUAUUUGUUUAUUGUAUGCACUAAGUCUAGGAGUUGAAUGAAACCUAUUCUUGUGUAUGAUCAUGCCUUGAUUUAAGGACAUCUUUGCCACUUGUUCAAAUCCUAGAAACUACCCAAGUCUAGAAUUGCUUACUUGCUUACUUGAUUGGUUUACCAACCUUAAGGAAAACUCUUAAGUCAUACAUGUUGCUUAUGAAGGAUAGUCUGGAAUAUGAAUACGGACAGAAGCUAGAGAUGUAGUUCUGUUCUGCUAGAUUAAUCUAGUUAAGGCCCGAUUCGUGUCUUAACCGCUGAUCAAGUGAUAAACAUCUGAUCACUUACUGGGUAUGGGACCAGUAAAGCCCAGUAGAUUAGUAAAUUCUAUGAUCAGGAAUGCUUCGUACCCGCAUUUGACGUGCUGGAGAUUGGCAGGGGUGUAGCCUGAAACUCACAUGGAGAUCAGGCCAGACGUGGGGUCCCAUGUGGGGGUGCAUCCCUGGGUCCGGGUAGUUGUAUUCCUAAUCAUUGACUUUGCUAAUCGAGAGGUUGUGAGAUACGACCGGAACAGUCGUAUAAUGCUGGUGAUCGGGUUGUUCUCCUGCAGGAUGUAAAUUGAUCCGGAUCGCCGCAAUUCUCGGUUAUGAAUGCACUUGAUCACUGUUGAGCAUCGUAGUAUCAACUCAUGCAAUAUAAAAUCUCCUGUUGUCAAGUAAUGUAUGACUUAACAGCUGUGGUUGUUUUUUUUUUACUUCUGCUAUCAUUUAGAAUGAUUAGGUAAUAACUUAACCCAAAUAAAAGAUAAAACUAAGGUAUCACUUGUAGUAAGCUUUUCGGCAAAAAUUGCAUUAGCCAAGUACACCAAAAAGCUAAGCAUACUCUUCCAAAGAAAGUUAUUAUAUUGGUUAGUCGGGUAAGACUUGCUGAGUACUUCGUACUCAGGGGAUCCCUUGUUGUUUUCAGAAAGCCAGCAGGGACCCACCGAAGAGGAAGCCCGAAGACCUAGGGUAUCGUAUGAGUCUCAUGAUACCCCAGAAUAAAACUUAGAUGUUUAUCUUUCUUCCGAACUGGUUUAUGUUUUAAAUUCUUAGAAACACGCUAACCUGCACUAUUAAGUUUGUUUCAAACUAUGGUUGUAAUAUAUCGUACCUUUGAUAUGUCUUUAAAAAUGUAAUAUUUGUUGAUGUUAUCCCAUCGCGGAUAUUAUCCUGAUGUAUGGCUAUGAAACACAUCGUGGAUCCUUCGAGGAGUCCUAGAGACACUCGACGGACUACCGGACUUAUGCUGUUUUACGUGCGUUUCGAAUAAUUGCUAUUCCGACAGCGAUUAGGCGCACUUAAACCAGCUUAAGUUGGACGGUUCCGCCAAAAAGGGCGUAUCGAGACGUCAAGACCAGUCAACAUCAGGACAUCGGCCAGAUUGGGAGUCAUGGGUCCGUGGCUGAAAAGGAACGCGUUGAGGGCGUCAGACCAGAAGUAAGACGUCGCAAUGACUAGGGAGUCGUUCCUCUCCAUAUGAGACAGGGACAAAUUUAUACAGUGGCCAAUUUUUCCCUCAUCCCAGUUAUCCAGAUCCAUAGUUGAUUGCUUGAACGGGAUUCUGUGAGUUUCCAGAUUAAUCAGCUCGGUUGGAUCAGGGUUCCCCAUGGGGCUGAGUCCGAUGAGGCCUAGUGCGUCAGAUAUCGGGAUGGUGAUUCUUUGCCUAAGUUCCUGAGAAGAUAUGAGGAAAAACUAAGUACAGAUCUAAAAUUCGUGAAAUGGUGAAAAGUAAAAAGGGGAGAGUUUUGGGGAAUUUACCUCCAGGAUGAAAGUCAUGGUGGCUGAAGGAAUCGCCAUUGGAGUUUGAGGGGAUAGCACGAUUGAUCAAAGGAUGAGAGGGGGUCAUCGGAGGGCGCUAGAAUGCACCUGGAAGCGGAGUGGGAGCCGAAGUGCAUUGGAAAAUGGUUCACCGGGAGAGAAAACUUACUAGCUCAGGGAAGAAGAAGCGGCGGAAGACGCGAGUAUUUAAAGGACAGUUCGAGAGAAGGGUAAAGGCGGGAUUUUUACCGUGCCGUCCAUGCAAAUUUUGAAGAGAGCGGUUGCCCGCGGGUGCUUUAUUUGAGAAAAUGCAAUCAUCAAAGAGAAUAUUCCGGAGCGAAAUGGGUUUUGACACAUUUACUGUUGCACUUUCUCUGGAGAGAAAAGUCAGAGUUGAGAAAAUUUUGGAGCAAAAGAUAUGUUUCACUCCGAAACUGGGGGGCAUGUGUUGACAUCGGAUUUUGACACGUGUUAACGUCGGCGUCAAAAGAGAGAAAGGUGGCCGAUGCGGAAAAACAAGGGAGCUACAGCUGAAGGAAUUGGCCAAUGGAGCUACAGUGUUUCAGCUGAUUGACUGAGGGAGUCAGUGGAGGCUGGCCAAUUGGGAGCCAGAGCGGCUUGGCCGAUGUGAACCUAAAGUGGGCUAUGAUGGUGAUUAGCCGAAGAUGAAGAUUGGCCGUAAGAAAAUAGUAACCGACUCUGAUGCGGGUUGCGUUCAUGUGUAAAUAUUUGUUAUCUUUAAAUUAGAGAUAAAUCCUAGUCAGUUAGGAAAUCAGUUGUAAGAGGGUAUAAAUAGGUGCCUCGUAAGGUUUGUAAAAUAACACAUGAAUCAAUAAUACAAAUCUACUUUUUCCAUGUACUUUACUUUCAAGUCGGCGACUUCGCCAAAUCCUUUUCUUUUCACGAGUUCGUACGAGUUGGCAGGGCUGCAUCAACACGACCUCCGGCCAAUUUGUAAGUUCCAUGUAUUGAGUAAUAUCUAAGCUUUAACUUUGGGUGCAUCACUGUGGUUUCGUUUAGAUUUAUUCACCGGUUAUCGAUAUUAACUAGAAUUAUAGGUUUUACCUAUUGUUUUAGUUUUAUAACAAGUUAUCCAGCUUGAGAUACAAACUGUCAGCUUUUAUCAUUAUUUUUAUCUAUUUUGAUAUAGCCAAUUAGAUCUGUUCCAAGUGUUGCUUUUGUAGCAUUGUUUAGGUUGCUCUAGUGGUUUCUCUUACACUUGCUAUGUGAUCAUCGGCUGUUUUAUAGCCGGUCAUAUCUACAGUAAUUCGGCCGAUUCGUUGAUACGUCCUUCAAAACAGAUCGGAACUUUAGCCGAUCAAAGCCUUUGAAUUUAAUACUUUUGUUUCCUUGUCAAUCAAUAGGUCAGAUUGACUGGCACACCGCACGUACCGCACCAAGGCGAUAACCCGAACAGGAGCUAAGCAGAUGCUCCCGGGUCGUGUGUCUGAUGCUAAGAGUCGUCGGCUGAUUUUUAGCGUCAACACCGAUCACCUGUAACGGCCUUUUCCUUGGUAUACUUGUCUAGAAGCCUAUCAAAGGUGACUUUCUCCCUGGGGCUACUCCCUUGAUCUUUUUCCAUAAUGAGCUUCAAGGUCCCGAUCUCAGGAUGCUUUGGCUUUAACAUUCGGGGACGGCCCUUGAAACGAACCGAUCUGACCAGUUCAGUCUGGCCAACAGAUUCGAACGGCGUGUGACCUGAUGCCGAGGGUGACGCUCCCCCCUCCCCCCUGUGUCCAGAGGCUUUUAUAGUGAUUUUGAAUGAUUCUUUGCCAUCUGGAGUCUUUUCAUACACCACCUCCCUUGUCAAUUCUUUGCCUCUCAAAUCGGGCUUCUCUUCCCUGAUCACCACAUUUUUACCCUUAGUUGCUUUGGUUUGAUGCGGCCAAACCAGUACUUUGGGCUACUUAAUAUCCAUUGUACUGAUAGGGAAAGGUGCCUUGUCCACUUGUAUCUCAUGAAUUUCAACCGGCCUUCAUUUAUAGCCGAUUGAAUAUGUCGACGGAACACAUUGCAAUCAUUAGUAGCAUGAGAAAAGGAUGUAUGAAACUUGAAGUAUGCUUUUUUUUCAGCUCUUCGAGUAGAGGCAUGGUAUGAGAUAUUUUUAGAUGUCCAAGUUUAAGCAAUUCAUCAAAAAUACGAUCACACAUCGAAACAUCGAAAGUAAAUUUUACUUCUUCUUGCUAACUCUUUUGGGCCGGUUUAAGAGAUACACAAGAAUAAGAUUUAGCCUUAGAAGGCCACACAAAUUCAGUAAUAUAAACUUCGUUGUCAUCGUCGUUCAAACUAUCAGAAUCAUAUUCAAUAGCAUGCAUAUUAGACCAACGAGACUUAAAGUUAUCCUUUUCUUUAGCAAUUCUAAGCUCCAUUGCCAAAGCCUUCAUAAGUACUUGUGCAAUAGUGUGAAGCUCAAAACCUUCUAGCCGAUCCCUAAUGGAGGAUCUCAAACCCUUAAGUGCAAGAUCGGCCAAAUCACUAUCCAAAAGUGACAAAUUAAAGCACCAGUUUUUAGUUUCUUUGAACUGUCUUAUGUAAUCAAAGACAGAUUCUACUUUACCUUGCCUAACCGAUGUUAAAUCCGUCAACUUUAAUUGAAAACUCCCAGUGUAAAAAUGAUCAUGAAACUUUUGCUCUAAUUGUUCCCACAAAUCAAUAGAGCUGGGAGCCAAAGAUGAAUACCAAGCGAAAGCAGUUCCAGUUAAUGACAAGGAAAACAAGCGAACUCGUAAAGCCUUAUAAUAACUCGCUUCGCCUAGUUGAGCCAAAUACUGACUAAUAUGCUCCCAAGUAGUUCGGUUAUCUUCGCCACUAAAUUUAACAAAGUCGGGCAUGCGCCAACCGACUGGAUAGGGGACAUAGUCAAAAUCAGAUUGAUAUGGCUUCUGAUAUAAUUUUGAACUGCUAGUAUCUAUGCCGAAUUUACUUUGCAUCAAAGCCAACAUCUCCUCUCUAAAUCUUCUAAUCUCGUAAAGGGAGUGUAACUCUAAUUGCUCUUUGGCUGAUGUAUUCACAGCACUUCCGUGCGUGGGGGGCGGGGGGGGAGGGGUUUGCCAUUCUGAAUACGGUGCAAAUCAGAAAACACGUCAUUCGAAAUUCCCCUAGAUGCAACAGUGGUGUUAGGGAUUGGGGGUGAUGUGUACGCUAUUAUGCCCAUCAAGGACGUGUUUAUUCCAACCUCAACGCCAUAGUCAGAAGCAAUCGAGCCAGGCACAACAUCGAGUGGCACAGGUGUUUCGGGGACAAUGGCCAACUGGCCGGCCUGAACAGCAUGACCGGUCAGACCACCCGCUUGGACCGGUCUGACGACCUCAGCCGUGUUCGGCUUUGGCGGUUGGACCCGGGGCGGCAUUUGUCCCUUGUAAAAGUUCAACGGCAUGCCAUAUGCAGGGUUUUCAGGAAUAGUCCCUGUAUUUGCCGAUGAACUCAUAUGUACAGCUCCACAUGAAUUAGCUUGAGAGAAAUCAUUUUUAUUAGAUGAAACAGAUUUAAUUCAUACAAGUUGAUCUGUUCUUGCCAUUAAUGUAGCAGUAACCCUAUUUUGUUCAGCAAGGUUCUUACGAAGCCCUGCAUUAACGAUGGCUUGAUCCGAGGGGAGAUUACUUACAUCGCGUAUUCUUCAAUCAUGCUAUCCUUCAUCUUCAUCAUGGGCAACUCGAAGUCCUGCACUCUCAUCGUCUUGCCCUUGCGAUCUUUCUUGACGCCCACGAGAUAUUGCAUCUUGACGUAUUCCUGGAGCGUCGCAAUGUUCCGCUGCUCCUCCUCGCUGAGAUCCUCCAUGGAUGCCAUGAUGUUGUCCUUAUCGAUGUCCAUAGCAGAUCCCAUCUUACUAGGGUUUUCCGGAACGAUUGUAAAAUCAGAUCUUUCUUCCCCAGCGGAGUCACCAAAAUGUGUUGACGCUUUUUCCGGUCAACACACGAAUGCGCUAGCUUGCGCAUGCACCAGUGAUCACCUCGUCAGCGCUUCCGCACCUAGCUGGUCAAACAGGUCAGGGGGCCGGUCAGACCGGUCCUCGCAGGGACGCCGCAAAAUCCUAGAAACACCACCUCGGGAGGGACCCAGUCGGAGAUGGUGCACCUAGGGUUGUUCUGAUGUCGGUCAGGCCAUUCAGAAUGUCCUCAAACGCCGUCGAGAUGAAGGAGGAAAGCUAGGUGUUUUAAAAGUUAGGGUUUGGAGAUAAAAGUGUAAAAGAUUUGUUUGACGAUUAGGUGUUAGCCCUCAAUCGGCCAGGACCCUUUAUAUUUAUAGGGUGGAAGGCCUUUUCCCGCAACAAAAUCCCGAUUCAUCUCCAAUUCAACCGAGACUCUAGUUUUUGCCUCGGACUCGGGCUGACCGGUCUGACUGGUUGGGAUAGCCGGUUAGACCGGUUGGCGCCUGCUAGAUCGGCUUUGAGCCUGAUCAGCGCCGCAGCCACUUUUGGGCGUCAACACUUCUUAUCCAAAAUUCAUGUAUCUAUCUCUCAUCUAUAUUGUUAUAUGUCGUGUUUCCUGAACAUGGAUGGAAGGCAUACUACAUAUGCUUGAAUCCUAAUGGCAGAGAUUGUCUGUUCCAAAGUUGUCAAGUCCCGGCUGAGAUUGCUCAUGAACUGGAUGCAGAAAGGAAACGAAGCGGCAUCUGAAAUUAUGAAUCAUGUAACAUGGAUCGCAAAGAGAAACUGGGGGUAAUAGAAGAAUAUAAUUGGAAUGUCCUAGGGAACAGGUAAAAUAAUAUUGGAGCUAUUGUUUGUAACUGAGGACAGGAUUAAACAGUCAGCACAUGGGUUGCUUCUUGGACUUGCCUCUGAUCUACAACUACAUCUACAUCGAUGAUGACCUUUAGUUCGCAUACUUUUGUGUUCCUGCUUCGUACUGGUAUGACACAUGAGUUCUUGUUGUCCCAUAAAGUUGCAGCUCUGAUUCAAGAUGCUGUCGAAAACCAUUUCGUUUUUGAAAGCUUUAGCUAAGAUGGCAGAUCCACAGGUUAGAUACUGUUCGUGACCGAAAUUGACAGAUUCUUUGUAAGGAUUUCGACUACACUAGAGGUAAGACCUCCCCUCCCUAUAAAUAUAAAGGGCCAUGGCCGAUUGAGGGUAUCCAAUCGAUCAAAAACAUAUCUUUUAUCUUUUUUACCUUUUUCCUUUGCCUAGCUUUUCCAAUCUACUAUUUGUUGUCCCUCCUUCGUCUCUACGUCGAUAGAGGGCGUUCUAGGUGGCAUGACGAUCCCAGAGCAACCCUGCGUGUGCUUGCCCUGACGGGAUCCUUCCCAGGCAAGUGUUCGUUGGUCCAUCGUUGGGUUGCCCAGCGAUCUGGUUUGACCGGCCUGUGCAGAGGCGCUGCAAGGUGCGCCCCUACUAGCUGCACGUUCGAGUGUGUUCGUAUGUUGGCCCGAUUUUAGUGCCAAUAGAUACCAACCCGUAAUGACAGAGUAACAUCUGAAAUGGUUGGACAACAUGCAGUUUUGUGCUUGAGCUAAGCAGGUACUCGCAGUGGUUGAAGCACAUCACCACCGCGUCACAUGGCCUCGGCGACACGCAGGUGGAGUCGAGGUACGAAAGAUUUGCUUCCCCACCUAACAUGGCACUCCCUAGACCCCAUUACUUCCGGCUUCCACAUCUCUACGUUGAGAGAGAUGAUUCGCAGGAGAAUAUAAGAUGGAAUUAUACUAGGACGCUUGAAUCUAGCAGAAAUGGUUGCCAGUAUAACUGUUUGCUUCAUCCACAAGCAGUUGGAAUAUCUGUUUGCUUCAUCCAAAAGAAGUUGCCUUUCAUAGGCCAAGGCUUUGCUGAAUUCCUUGUUUGUGGGUGUUCAAGUUGUAUUUGCUUUGUUGUCCUUAGCUUUCUUGGUCAAAUGUUAGCACCAUUUCAUUUUUACCACGGUUGUUCACUACUAUAUAUGCCUGUUGGGCAAUUCUUCUAGCCAACAUAACAGACUCUCAUGUUUCGGUCAAGUCAAAGAAACAGUUCUUUUAGGCAAAAGUUAAAAUCAGAAACAAUCCUUGUCAACAUUUUUCCAUUGUAGAGACCAACUGCUCCACCACUCACCAUCAGAAUCAUCUAUAUUAAUGACCCAUCAACCUCUUUUUUCUUUCAACGUCUUUGCCUCUUGGGCCACAUUCUCGUUCAAUUUUAACACCCAUAAUAGUAUCUCUCUACACACAGGUUAGCUGUCCACAAUUUUCACCCAAUCUGGUUGACGGUAUGUUCUAACAACCUCUAAGCUAAAUCUUUGCUCACGAUCCAAAGUUCAUCAUCUAAUGUCUAAUGUAUACUGUUAUAUCUUACUUUUUCCGAGCAGGGGAGCGAUGCUUGAACUCUAAUGGCAGAAUUAGUCAGUGCUGCGAUUGUCCAGGAGACAGUUGGCCAAAUCCUAUCUGGUCUGGUUCAAAAAUAUGAGGACAAAGAGGAAUCAAAUGAGAAAAGAAACUUGGAGAGGCUAGACAUGGCACACAUCAGGCUGGAGGCUAGAGAUGGCACACAUCAGGCUGGAGGCUGCUCUUGAGACAUCUAAUAAGUGGCAGAUCACUGAUGCAUUCUCAUUGCAUUGGUGUAGGAACCUGAAGCAUGCUGCUCAAGAGUGCGAUGACACACUGCACAAAUGCAAACAGAGAAUCCUAGAAGACGAACAAAUGGAGCGGGAGGUAAAGAAUUCCUCCCUCCCUAACCGUAUUGUGCAUGCUACCAAGUCAUUUGCUCUCUCCAUAUUUAAAUGCAAUGACAAUGACUUGAGAAGAUCCAUUGCUCAAAGAUUUGAGUGGUAUGCAGAUGGUGCUAGUGAGUUUCUGAGAUUCAUAGAGCUUGGUGGCACACCACGCCGCCACAUGCCCUUGGAAUCUCUUGUCAAAAACCUUUUUGAAGGCAAGGAACUACAUCAUAAAAAUUUUCCCCUUUGUUUCAAUUAUGGUUGACUCCCAUCCAUAAUCCAGUGCAUGGAAUAAAUGUUAGCCUAACAUUUAUCCAGUAUGAUGGUACACCAUAGGGUAAUAUCUCCUUUAGUUUGGCCGUACAGCUCUCGGAGAGUAUAGACAUAGUUGGGAUCGCAGUUAAGUGUCUCCAGGUAUUUGCCCCUCAUUUCAAGUGUAAAUUUGAAAAUAUUAGAAAUGAACUUACUCAACUAUCCAAUGAAGACUUCUCAUGGGGCCCUCUUUUUAUUCAGGCAAUAAAGAACAUUGGGACAAAUUCAAUAGCUUGUUCUCUCAGUUCCUUCGGCCAAACCCAUUUUGCUGCAAGGAGCAUGGACGGCAGCAGGUUCAACGUUUUAGCAACAUGGACAUGGCAUGAUUAUCAGAUGGUUUGCUAGAACAAGUAAUUCAAUUUACUUUGCAUUGCCACGUCUCACUACCUAUGUACAGAAAGACCAAAUUUCUCUGCAAGAUUAUCCAUAUCUGAAAGCUGGGAUCGUGUUUUUGCCCCAUGGCUCUUUAGAGGACAUGCUGCCAGCGAAUAGGAGUUCUGAGAUAGCGGCGAUAGUCCGCAAGGAGCAACAUUUCUUGCAUACAGACAUUACCCUGGAACAGCUGGAAGAGAUUAUGCUGCCAAAGGCAAUAGAUUACUUCCACCAGAAUGCCGAAGCAAUGGUUUACCAAAUGCUUUGGAAGUCUAAACAUGGCUUUGCACUUAUUCAGGUUGAGAAGCCAUGCAGGAGAACAUGGAGAUCAAGCAUGAGAAGACGGAGCACUUCUAGGGGAGCUAGGAAAAGAAAGCUGUUUCAAGGAGAUGAUGAGGAGCUCAUUACGUAUUGGAUACGUCUCUAUCACUGGCUUGACUUAUGAUUUACACAUGUGCCUGUCCGGUUGCAAAGGUCGCUCAUGAAUUGGAUUCGGAAAGAAAAAGAAAUUUCGAUAGCAGCACCACACUUAUACCUGAAAUUCGAAAUCAUUUCAUUAAAGAAGAAGAGGGUAAAGAAAAACAAAACCACAACAGCUCUGGGAUCUAGAAGUGCUAUGUUCUACAUUAGGAACCUAUGCAACUGUAGCACAUCACUUGUUCUUGGUUUCAAUUUGUGUGUCUUGUAUGUAUGAUGUUUGGUUCUCACCAGUUGAGUAUACACUGGGAAUUACUCAAUUACAUGGGAGAUC